GAAAAAAAAGUUGUGUUGCUACUUCUCAUUGUUUUAGUUGAAGUUUGUUCUGGUCAUGAUGUCUUCUGUUUUGUACUGAUUUAAUUAAUAACUAAUACAAAGGGAGGAAUGUCGAUCCCUUGCUUCCCACUCCUGAAUUCCAUUUCUUUUAGAUAUUAAAAAUAUCAAAAGAAAAAGUGGAGUUGUGUGUUCUUAUUGUUUCUAUCGAAGUUUGUUCUAGUCCUCAUGUCUUCGGUUUUCUACUGCCUAGAAGGAACAUCCCUACCACGUGCCCCCUCCCCACCCACCCACCCACCCACCCACCCACACACAGAAAGUAAAGUACAUCAAAAGAGAAGAGUUGAGUGGGAAGUUCUGAAGGAUCUGUUCUCCUUGUUUCUUUCGUUUUCUAUACUAGGAUGCAGUAUGUUCGUGCAUUUUCCCAUGCAGUCUUUAUCCUUUUCCCCACCUAGCAUAGUGGCAUGCCCCUCGCAAAUGCUAGGGCAUCGUCUUUUUUUUUAGUGUCUGAGAACUAAAUUUAUGGUUUCAUGCUUAUCCACAUUAUGUGAUAUGUAACAAUACAGUUCUAUAACAAACAACAAUGGUUGUGCUAAAUAAAAUAUCCAAUGUGUAAGUAUCAUCUUUAAUUUGUCGGCAAUUGAUUAUUAUGGCAUUUUUGGAAGGGCCAUAUAUGUCAUUUACAUGAUAUUUGAUCGAUACAUAAAUUUUAAAUCUAGCUUCCAAUGUUAGGCUUUAGUUUUCUGUGAUAUUUGAUUAGUAUGCGCCCUAACAUUUAGAAGUACACAUGUUAACAUUUAAAUUCUAACUAUUAAUGUGCCCACUGCGUCGCAAGGGGAGACAAAAUGUCCACCAAAGUUUUCAUCAGCACAAUACAACGACAAAGUUUUCCUCAGUGCAACACAAUGACAUCUUGAUGGUGCCAGCAGCCUGCAGGUAGGCGCACACCAAGCUCUACAAAAAAUGCGUGCAUAUCACCCAUGCAUUAAUCGUGAAACGAGCCAUAGCACCGCUGAUAAGAAACACUUAGGUCCUAGGUUCCAUGCAGGUCAUCGAGGCUUAUGUUAUACUCUUCCUGUCUGAUAUUUAUGCUGGCGGGCCACUUAGUGCUGUUCGGAUGCUCCAACCAAAAAUAAGAUACAAUCUACUCUCAUCUCGAAAUAAAAAUGAAAAAGAGUAUUAUAUGUAUAUUAAAAAAUGUACAAUAUAUUUCUGUUCACUGACCUAAGCUACCAUCUCUUGUUUCUGAUCUCACACCCCUGAAUUUUUGUUUCUCCCAUGAUUGCUAAAUGAUCCAAUUAAUGGGGAUGUCCAAAGUCCACCUUUAAUUUCUUAAAAAAUGGCUUUAAAUUCUAAGAUCUGCAUCCUCCUUUUUAAAUAUUUUUCGGUACGAAUCCAGUUUUAGUGCUUAUGACCAAUUUAAUUGGUCUCCCAAAUCCCACAAUCAUAAUACGCCCCCACAUGAAUGACCUAUUUAAUCAGGUGUCUCAAAUCCCACAAUCUCUGAAUCCCAUACGUAUGUGCUUAUUUGGCACAUUCUCUUCCUUCGUUAACUUGUGCUUAGUGCUUACCGAAUCGGCUUACUGAAUUUAUGGUACCAAGGUACCAAAAGAUGGAGUUGGCUGGAUGUGGGUGAGGUGGUAUUAUUUAAUAGGAAGACCAAGCGUAUAUAUGUACACUGCCUAUCUAGCUCAGUUGGGCACCUCCCUGAGGCAGCAUUUACUAUUUACAAUUUUUUAGGCCCAACGAAUCUACGACGAACGAAGGAUCCACCCCGAGCGAUGGACAAAUUGGGAGAAUUCAGUGGCCCAGCAUUUCAUUAGCGUAGCACCACAUACGCCAUUUUUUCUUGAUGCUUCCCAUUGGAGGCAGAAGCUAAAUGUGUAUGCGGGUAUCUCCAUUGAUCAUAACCUGUGAUCAGCAGCGGCGAUUUGCCGUGACAGGGAUGCCACAUAUAUGGGUUCUUCGAUUCUGACCAUACAUGGCUUAACAUACCCUACUGUUUCUGGAGGCAAUCGCUUGUAGAGAGGCUCUAAAUCUGGGGAAUGAUCUUGGAUUGAGUCAUCCUUACAUUGCCUCUGAUUGUGAGGAAGUGGCCAAUCACAUGCAUGAAGCUUCAGGAUGUUUCGAAGGAACUAUCGUUAGAGAGAUUAAACAGCAGGAGAAAUCUUUUACUUCAUGUUCUUUUGUUUACGAAUGUAGAGCUUCGAAUUAUGAGGCUCAUAAGUUAGCUAGGCUAGGGGUUAACCUUCCUUCCCAAAGGCAGAUUUGGUUGGAGCAUCCCCAUGAUACCCUUGUAAUUCCUGUAAUGAUUGACAUUGAUGAAUAAAGCCUAGUUACCUUUGCUAAAAAAACAUCAGCCAUUUUUUCUUUUUUUGUUUCCUUUUUCUUUUUUUCCUGUCUUUUUUGCCUUCUCUGUCCUUUUUUCUAGUUUGCCUUGUCUUUUUUAUUUGUCAUUUUUUCCUUUUUUCUAUUUAUUUUUGUUUUUCCAUAUAUUUUUUCAAAACAUGUUUGUGUUUUAAAAAAAUGUUCGUAAAUAUCAAAAAAUGUUCCCUUUUCAAAUUUUGUUCUAAAAUUCAAAAAACGUUCUAGUACAGCUAGCGUCAUGCAUUGGGUCUUGUAACUGUCCUAGUGGUUGCAGUAACUAAUAAAAAUGGAGGGGUGUCGAUCCCUUUCUUCCCUCUCCUGCAAUCUUUUAUUUAAAAAAUUAACAUCAAAAGACAAAAGUUCAGUUGGGAGUGUUCUCAUGGCUUUGUUGAAAUUUGUUCUCCGCGUGCCUUUCCAUUUCUACUGGCUAGAAGGUACAUUCCUACGUGCCUACACACACUCUCUUUUCUUCUUUUCUCCAAAAGAAGAGCAAAGAAUUUUCGCUUCAAAGUUAAGAACAUCAAAAGACAUGAAUUGAGUUGGGAGUACUCAUGGCUUUGUUCCGUCCUGGUUCCUGUGUUAUUUACUAGGGUGUACUACAUUGGUACGUUUUCUAACACACUCGUAUUGCGUUUACCCAAGAUGAGGACUAAGAAUCAAUGCCCUUGGAGUAUAUUUAUGGAAAAGGUUGCUUUAUUUUGCAUAAAACUAAUUACUAAAGCAGAACAGCGUGCAUCUAUGUGCGGCGACCAAUAGCUUUUGUGGUGAUCACAUUUGUUGGCCAUGCGCACUUGUGGUGAGCAACUAACAUGUGGAGUGACGUGCUAACAUGUGGAGUGCCGUGCUAAGAAAGAGCACAGGUAGAAGAUCGUUGUAAUAUAAUGGUGGACUGAUAGUAAGACCGACAGUAGCACAACCACAGAAUAAAUAAUUGAAGAUGGUUUGAGAAAUUCCAUCUACAUUGUGAAAUGUCCUCAUCAAGGGUUGCUGAAAUAUCUGGGUUUUGAGAAAUGGUUUGUUUUAAAAAAAAUGAGCGGCUGACACUUCAAUCAUGGAGAAACAUGUUAACCUACCGAAAAAGGGUUUCCCCCCGCUUCCACCGAUCACACGAUAAAUGCUGGGGCGCACAACACAUCAAGUCCAAAAGAGAAAGAAAGAAGAACAAAAUGCCAACAACGGCAACUUGACAAAGCACAGAUGAUCUGCAACUGCUGCGCCCUCUGGAUUCGUCCCGCUGCACACCAAGGUUCCAAAUCGCCGUGUACCAAGCAGAACCUCGAAGAAGGGAUGCGACGUCGAUGACACUGCUGCCUGGACAUGUUCUAGGGUUUCCCCGGCACGUGGAGAGGAGUGGAGGAUGGGUAACCAUCAGGAAGGAAAGGCGACACCCGCAGGCGACACCGCGUCGGCGCCGGAAGAACCGCCAGGGAUUUCUCCCGCAUCCCAACCACCACUAUCCGCCUGAUCCGAAGCCAACCAGCCAGACAGCCACCCACCAGCAUACGCCACUACGGUCUUGAAGUCAUCUAUGUCGCCUCAUUUAGACCGCCAUCACGAGGCCUAGAGGAUGGAGAGAGGAGCGCCAGAAAUUGGGAGGGGCAUCACUUGAGCCGCGUCGAAGGGAACCACCUCCUCCACCAUCGUGCGGGAGGCCUCUGCCUCCAGCAUUGUCGCAGGUGCCAACCGGACGCGGCCGCAGUGGCACACCAGGCCACCCAGGCCCGGCCGGGCCCAUCUCAGGCCCGCAAAGCCGCUGCCACCCCGCUGCAGCAAGCCGGCGACGGCGCCGCCCCCACCCAGCUUUCCUACACCAUUUUUAGUGAAGCACACAGCCAAGCAAACGAAUUCUUUAAGCUUAACAACUUGGAUUGAUAUUCACCAUUCGGUUGCACCCUUUGCAGCCUUCCUAUUUUGUUCCCUUAUUCUCUUUUAUUUAUUUUUACCUUUUGUACAUACUCUUAUCAGGCAAUAAUAUUUGCAGUACGGGCUUGCCUUAUUGUUUUUGUUUCAAAAAUAGAAUGGAGCUACUACCCCAUAAAUACGACCCUGUGGCUGAGUAAGGGUUAACCUAAUUGAACACAUCGAACUUGGAAGGAAGGAGAGGUGCUGAUGAAGACUUCAGGAGUGGGACAGAUGUAGACGGCUGGUAUGAUUUAGAUGGUUGAGAGGCCGACAAUUAUCGUUUGAAUUUUAAUCCAGAGAGCGCUCUAGGUUGUGCAAGGUAACAAUAGGUUGCAUAGGUGCAUGUCCGGCAUUGCACACAGCAAGAGUAUUUUGUGAUAAUGUUUUUGUAUUAUAGGGGAAAGCAGCUGAAUCAUCUUGUCUUUUUGUUUUACUUGGAGAUAUGUGGCACCGCGAGCUGUUCUACUUUUAGGUUGGGGCGUGCCAUCGUUGAGUCAGUGUUCAUACAUGAAUGCACAUCCAAGUAAAGAUGAAAUUGACAAAGUAAAACAUAAACAUAAACAUCGGCAGUUCAAGGAAUCAUCAUCAAGUACAUGUUAGUUGACACCAAAUGUGCCACGCAGUAGCAUGUAGCAUGUAUUUCACCAUGGAUUAGUUAAUGCAAAUCCACACGAUAGUAAAAGAAUUACCAAGACCAUGCAUGCUAAUAACAAUGCAUAUUCAUUAAGAUAGUUUGUUUUGCAACACCACAAGAAACAGAAAAUGGAACAGCGACAUCCCACAAGCUGAGCACUCGACCCACCACCACCCCACAUGUUAAUAACAAUCAUCUAAUUAACCUGCUAGACACAAUGCAAAGAGAGAGAAAAGAAGAAGCGCAAAGACAUAAUGCACCCAUCGAAGUAGCAGCUAGUACGUGCAUUGACAUGUCAGGCAUUACAGGCUAUAGGAAAGCUAAUAUUCCGAUCGCCGACGUAAUCGACGGCGUCGCACACCACCCUGACGUCGUAAGGCCUCGUGUAGGCAGCCGGCCCGACCCUGUACUUCACCACGGCCAGCACCAGCACGCCGAUCGCCGGAGCCCUGCCGGAGGGGCCUAUGUCUAAGGCCGUGCCGAACAGGGUACCCGACUGGCUCAUGCUCACCGUAGCCCCCGGCGGCUGCCAGUGCCAGGGCGGCGAUGCGGGCCCGGCCCCCAGUUUGUACUCCGUGCCGUUGGACUUGAACUGCAGGUACACGAUGACGCUGCUGUACUUCACCCCGGCGCGGUGGCUGGUGUUGUUGGCGGAGAGGGUGAGGUUCAGCUGCCUCGUCUUGCUUUUACGGUCGAGCUUGCCGGCGACGGCGCCAGUGACGGAGAAGACAAUCCUCGCGGGUCUGAGGACCGCGGAGACGGCGAUGACGACGGCGGUCACGGCAAGGGUUACCAUGAGGGCGGCGAGGAUAUAGCGCUUAGUUCUCCAUCCGCGAGGAUGAACUGGGGCUUUCGCCAUUGCUAGCUAGCUUCUCCACCUUGCGCUAGUGUUGGUUAGCUAUGAGCAUAUUAGGAGUUAUGACUGACAAGCUAGGCAUAGAUCGAUAUAUCAUAUCCCCUCGGCCUCGGAGGGUAAAGCGAUCGAUAUGGAGAAUACAUUUCUUUUUACAUUUUGCUACAACUAUCUUUGCAACAGGCAGAAGCGUGAGCUACAAGUAAUAAUCGCAAAAGUGCUCUAGCAUGUUUUUACAUGCCGAAGGCCCAAAAUUCCUAUGAUCAUAUCUCGAUAUAUGCAACUCUGAGUUGCCUUGUCACUUCAAGGUCUUUGGCCUGUGAAAAUUCUUGAUAUUUGCACACGAUUUCUAUGAUGUUACCGCUGGAUCAAGAUCCUAAUAUUAGCAUUCAUAGUUAGACUUUUGUUCAAACGAGUACGAGUUAGCUAGACGCUCGUCUUUUUCUCAAGAUAUCUUCCAUCUAAAUACUAGUAAUUAAGUACGCUCGAGGUAGCUUCCUCCGAGAGUCUAAGUACAACUUUCACUUUAGCUUUCACACAUGUGGGCACGUUACGGUAUGAAUUGUAGACAAAUCUAUGGAAACGGAAUAUAUAGCUCGACUCACAAGUUUAAUUAGCUGCACCUGCACUGCAUCACUAGCUAGCCAGGUUCGUACACAGGACUAGCCGUAGAGUGUGUUUUUAAAAAUAUAACCAUUUUUUUGUAACCAAUCUGCAAGAAAAGUAACAUGUUUACUUUUAAUUUUUGCACACAUCGUAAAUACUUAUAUUUUUGUGGCCAAUAUUUGCAGGCAUAUGCUUGGUAAUUGACAUCAUGACUUUCUUCAGAUUAUUUGAGCUUUUCUUUUGAGGAAUGGCCAUCAUGGCUAUCUCUAUUGAAUUUAAACAAGCAUUACAUCAUCCACGAGUCUGGAAAUCAGAUACACCUGGGCCGUGGUUCAUCCGUCUAACUAAAAGAAGACUUACUACAACAACCGUAAUUAGCUAUCACAUCCGCCCUUUAAAAAUGACCUUCCUAAUCAACAAAGCCAUAUCCACACAUUCCGCAAUGAUUGCUGCAGUAACAUACUAUAAUCUUGUAUGUCCAGUACAGUUGUCUACAACAAUCAAAUAAUCGGACUCAACUUUCCCACGGGGAAACCUAAGGAGUUUGUGAAUAUCAGUCCAUCACGCAUAGCCAUUUCCUUAGUUUUUUUUUACCAUGAGUCAUUUCCUUAGUAGUGACCACAACAGCAGCAUAUGGGAUAUAUUUGAGCUUAGUAGACACAAUUUUGUCUUUUUAAAAGUCGGGGGGGNNNNNNNNNNNNNNNNNNNNNNNNNNNNNNNNNNNNNNNNNNNNNNNNNNNNNNNNNNNNNNNNNNNNNNNNNNNNNNNNNNNNNNNNNNNNNNNNNNNNNNNNNNNNNNNNNNNNNNNNNNNNNNNNNNNNNNNNNNNNNNNNNNNNNNNNNNNNNNNNNNNNNNNNNNNNNNNNNNNNNNNNNNNNNNNNNNNNNNNNNNNNNNNNNNNNNNNNNNNNNNNNNNNNNNNNNNNNNNNNNNNNNNNNNNNNNNNNNNNNNNNNNNNNNNNNNNNNNNNNNNNNNNNNNNNNNNNNNNUGAGACUGGAUAUAGUAGGGUGUUUAGGUCAACCAAAGUAAAGUGGCCGAGGAAAAAAUUAGCCAAAGCAAAGUAGUACUAGUUUACAUGGAUAAACGGAGUGUCGAAUCUUAGGCAAUCCUUUUCCUUUUCUGGAGAUAGCUUGCACCUUGAGGUUGCUUCCAUCCGACUCUAAAUAACUGGCUAGUGCAAGUUUCACUUUAACAUGUGUAUACUAUGUAGCAAGGCACCUGCUAUCAUAUCAAUAUAUAUGCAUCCAUCCAUCCAUGGAAUAGCUAGCAAGUCCGGCCGAUUAAGCAAUAGCCACUCUAUGCACGACUACAAGAAUACAUCCAAUCUCCAAUUCAUGGGUGAUAGUAACGGCGACAGCAACGACGACGGCGAGGACACAAGAGUCCGGUGGUUGAUCGAUGUGGCCCGGUACACGGCGGCAGCCCUGGUGACCGCGGUCACCGUGGCGGUCAUUGCCAGGGCUGUCACCGUGUCCCUCCGCUCUGAGCCGAUCACCAUCGAAGUCGCCAAUUCGUCCGUCUCCGUGUCCGUGAAGGGCUUGCCGCCGGCACCGGUUACAGUGAGCAUCUCUCUGAACCUGCUGUCGUACAACCCAAGCGGCCGCGUCGGCGUCCAGUAUAGCAACGUCAACAUGAGCCUCCUCGACAGGAGCGGCAAGGCGAUCACCUGGUUGAGCGUUCCGAAUGGCACCAUCCACGGCAUCGUGGUGGGGCCGACAACGGCGCGGCAGACGCUGGUGAGGGGGGACCUCGUGGUGCCGGAUGAGGUACCCAGCGAGUUCGCCGAGAGGAUGCGUCCUCGCAGCAGGAAUGGGACGACGUCUGCAGGCCAGGAGAUCAAAGAGGCUGCCGUGCACCUUCGUGGCAUCCUCCAGACCCAGAUCUCCGGGUUCACCUACAGUCACGGCGGCGUCACCGCGUUCCGCUGCUUUCCGGUCACCAUCGGCGUCCCGCCGCUCCACCUGUCUGCAGGCGACGCGCCUUGCGAUAAGGUGCCGCCCUAGCUAGCUGUGCCUCUGCACGUGUUGUGCAGUUGUGGUGAUGAGUAAAUUAGACGCCUCGUCAUUUGAAUGAAAGUAAGCUGUGAGAUCGAAGUCAAGUGUGGUUUUGAAUUAUUAUCAACCCGCCCGUCGCCACGGGCGACGAAACAUGAAGAGAAACGCAUUAAGUCAUCUGAGUAAUAUUGCAGUUCACAACAAGUGUUUAACUUAUUUGAGAAUUACUAGCAAAUAUGCCCGUGCGUUACAACAGGUCAUAAAAAUUCUAGUAGUUCAACAACAAUUCUCUCUCCCCUCUCCCUUGCCGCCACCAGAGGGUGCGGCCAGGCAAAGCUCGGCCCACGCCAGUGCUGGCAAGGUUCAUUUCUCUUCACUCGGCAGUCGGCGACAUGGGACGUGGCAGGGCGGCGUCCUUCUGCCGGUGGUGGGCGUUUGUCGGAUCGGUCGGCCAGAUUUCCUUGGCUGCUUGGGCAGAAGGUCUCAGUGGACGACGGUCGUGGCGUCAGGUGGUUCCCGGUGCCCCUUUCGUCAGAUCUGAGGCGGACUAUCAUAGCAUGCGGUUCUCUUCAUCGGCUGCUCUAGAUCUCCGGCGUCCGUGCUCGGAGGUGUUGGUGGCUGGCCUGGUUGGUGACGGGAUGGAAGCUUGUCCAGGGAAACCUUCUGGCCGACAGCGGCGGUAGUAGUAUCUAUACUACUAUAUAGUGUACCAGUUUUGAAAUUUUAAAUCUCAUGACCAAGAAGCAACCUGAACCAUUGAUAGAGUCCAUCCAAUGAUUGGAAGUGCUCGGACUCACUGCUACAGUUCUAGCUAUAGUACCAGCGAAGCUACUGUUGUUCUCCGAAACCAUCGACAGAUAAUCAGUACCAGCCAAGCUAAUGUUGUUCUCUAGAACCAUCCACAGAUGUCAAUGCUGGAAAAAUCCACAUGCUUGCUGCUGUUGUCGUCCAUCCAUGCAUGUAGCUGGCUGUCUCAGCCGCCUUGGCAGCCGGUCCAUAAGCAUCGGUAGCGCGCGUACUAAUCGCGUCAUCGCAGAGGGAUUUGGGACGGAGUUUUGAUCUGGUUGUUGUGCAAUGCACCAAUCGGACGAGGGAAGUCGAUGUGUACAUUUGUACGUACAUGUAUACUAGUAUAUAUAGUACAUAAGCUAGCCUAAUCUGGUACUAAUCCAAUACGAUGAUUGCACCGUAUAGGAGCAGCACACGGCACCAGCGUUAGGAUUAAUGGGCUGUCUUUUGUGUGUGGGUGUAGCCCGCCCAUGGGGCUAGACAGGCCCAGCUGAGGAUGUGCCAUAAACGGAUCAAGCGAAGAAGCCAGCCACUGUCGACGUACGAUAUUUUUUUGAACAAUCGUGCAACAUAAGAUUAGUAUCACCUCGUUUAUAUUAUGAUUUUGUCUAUACAAAUCGUAAAAGUGUAUUAUAACAUGAGAAGAAAGCGUAUUGUGACGGUGAACCCGACAAAGUCAAUCUGUACUUUAUUAUUAGGGAGAGAUAGGGAGAGAUUAGUAGUCUAGACUCUAGAAGUCGUUUUAUGAGGUGAAGCACCAUUUGACUCAUUAGAGCGUCGAACUGAGCUUAGCUUUGAUGAUCAGAUUUCUUGUGGUGGAACCAACCCAUCAUAGUUUAAGCAAUAAAGUUGGCAUUGGUGCGCGCACUUUUCUAGAUUUGUGUCAGACUUUUCGACAAUGUUUGUUCUGUGAAAGGAGACUUUCCCAUCGACUAUGGCGCUUAUGGUGACUUCAUGAAUCUCAUGACGUGUUUACGUGCGUGUUUUAUAGAGAUGAAUGUGUGCGUGUAUAGGAGCAUCUACAAUUGUACCAUGUUAACAAAUGACUUCUUAGAGCGUGCUAGGACAUUCUCUACCAUAGAGCAUCUCUAGCAUAUCCCUUAUAAAGUUAUAUUUAAGGAAGAAAAAUAGUUGUUCGCCUAAAGCCCAAAUAUUGUCAAAUGUGACUUUCAAUGAUGGGCUUUCUUAAAUUGCCCUAGGUUUUCAUGAGCAAGCAAGUUGGAUGCACAUCCACUUAAUUUUCUUUUGAUCUUUCAUUCACUUAUAGCUCUAGUGCAUUUAUUGCAUGACAAUCCAUACUCCUUAUAUUGACAUCAAUUGAUGGGUAUCUCCAUAGCUCAUUGAUUAGCCUCGUCAAUGUGACACUUUUUUUUGUCUUCUCCACACAACCCCCACCAUCAUAUUCUAUUCCACCUAUAAUGCUAUAUCCAUAGCUCGCACUCAUGUAUUGCGUAGACAAUGGGUGCAUAUGCACCUAGGAGCCAUUGCCAAUUUCCGUAGAAAAUAUUGGUACAUUGCAUAGCACUUUUUUAUAAAUAACUCUGGGUCUGACCUGGUACCUUAGAACCAGAACAUGAAGGAAAACAGACGAAUCAACACAAAAAUACAUCAUUAUUUCGCAGGCCUAUACUCAAAUGUGAAGGACAGGGGUAAUAAGUGAUAACAUAUAACCGGAAAUGUCAUAUUUCAUAUAUCAACGUAUACAGUAGAACCUGUGAUAAACCCACAUUUCCUGGGUCAACAUAUCUUUAUUGACCAUGCUGGAGCAAUGAGACACAAAUAUACAUUAUGUCGCAGGUCUAUACUCAAAUUUGAAGGACAAAGGUAAUAAGUGACAGCAUUAUUUCUUGUUUAGCUUCAUCGCAACCAGCUACAUCCAUAAAAAAAAACACCUGCACCAACCGAAGAGCAGGAAUUGUCAGGGAGAUACAGUCAAUAUCAUGUAAACCAAAAGCGAAUUCUACUGCAAGUCUGAAAAAUGAGGACUCUGCGAGCUCCCGAAUUACUUUUCAAUAGACCUAAAUUUUUUUAUUGCCUCUUUUUUGGAGUAUAGUACCAAAAGGAAUGGUAAAGAGAAUGAUAUGGAACAAAAAAGAACUAACCUUAUUUUUGGAAUUUCUGUCCAUCUUUGUUAUUGUUGCUUUUCCAAUGUAGAAGACGCCACAUCUACCCUUCCCAGAACAUUUCUGUCCAUUUUGGAAUGUCCAACAAGGAACGUUGUUGGGUCAAAUCUCAUCACUUGGAACCAAUUUACUCCCGCAACAUAAGUUAGUGGAACAUAAUCAUGUGAAUCUAUACCCAAAUUUUACCGGGCUUCCACUUUUCUUCAUGACUCAACAUACUUCCAAUAUUUAAGAAAUGCCUGUAUUGGCUGGGAUCCUGUUUGCCUGGAACAUCAACGGUCAUAAUUUGUGUAUAACAUUUUGGCUUUGGUCAUUCGUCUGUGGCGAAGUCCUGAUGUAGACCUUCGACACUAAUUUAUUUUAAACACCUAUACGGUCAACCAGGCCAGGUUCCAGUAACUUGUUCUUGAAUUCUUGGAAGCUUAUCAGCAGAAAGUACAAGCACAAGAUCUUUUCAUAACCGUUAAACUAAAGACUAUGCAACAUCCAUACGUUUGAAGUGAUAAAAUAUGCAAACCAAAAAACAAUGCCAAAAUUACAAUUAACAGAAAACAAAACUAAUAGUUCUGAAGCUGGCAUUUUGAUUCAAAGGUAAGAAUAGGAAACUACAAUCAAGGUGCACGUUGACAAUUUGCCACAUCAGGUAAACAUCUGUACAAGCAAAAAUUAAUUAGUGAAAACAACUUCUCAAUGGGCUAUAGAAUCAAACAUCAUAUGUUUUACAAAUAGCAUAUGAUCCCUAUGGACAUCUUUUCUGCAAAUAUGUCUCCUCACAUAUUGCAUAUUGAUCACAGUUUGCUAUCUGUUAUCUGGUGUAGGCACAUAUUACUUAAACAUCUAAAGAGAACAGGUGGGUAUUUUCUCUGCCAUUUGCCAAACCCAUCAUGGCAAGAAAUACAGUCCAAGUGUUAGCUUCUGAUUGUCACAAUUAUUAAAUAAUGGUUAACUAAUCUCCAAAUGUUGAUUGAAGGUGACAGGGUACGUACAACUUGUGUAGUCCUUAUGGUAGAGAAAAAGUUUUCUAUUUCCCUUGGGUUCUCAACAAACAACAAGGAUUCAGGGAUUCAACGAAUAAAGAAAAUAUAUCUGAUAACAUACCAACAACUUGCAGAAAACAUAUUAGUGAAAGUACUUAAAAACUCGAUGGACAAUUUGCCAUAGAGGGGACGAAAUCACCUCCUUCUGGUGUGAUGCGAUCGAAGACAAGGGGGAAAACAUCAGGCCUAAAAGCAAUGGAGGUCUGAGGAAGUUCUAGAACUGCUUGAAAGUACCAUCCUGGAAAUUCCAUUGACCAUCUAUAUCGGAUUCGUCUGCAUAUCCCAAAAUUGCAAUUUCAUCAGACUUGAAGUUGGCAGUACUUAGAACUGACAAGUUAAACUACCAUCAAACAUUUGUGAGUUUGUGACCCAACCAUUAUCCAGUUAUAUGCUAUUAUUCCAUUGUUACAUCAACUGACCGACACUCACACGGGAAGGAAAUCAUCAUGCACAUAGUUGCCCAUCUUGGUGGCAAGACACAUUCACUAAGCCCACUUCAUAGCACCAAAGAGAUCCAAACAUAUCCAGGCUUGUGCAUCCAAUUUUUUUAACCGGAUCCAAGCAGAAAACACGGCCAGAAAAAUAAUGGAUCCACACAUAGAUAUGAAGGCAAGGAACAACUCACCAUCUAGAAACCUUGCAACCUAUAUGCAGCAGCAUGUGGCAAGCCGACCGACGCCUCGGCGAACAGAACAAACGACAGACACAACGGGCCUGCAAUGAAAUCCAGUGUGAGACCCCUAACCAAAUCCAAGGCAACCAAGAAAAUCAACCAUGGCAACUGAACAAGCACCUGAACCAGGAGGUGCAUGCCCCUCUCCCCCUUGAUGAGCGCAAACGGCCACUGCCCCCGCGCGGUGGAGUCUGUGGCGGAUGGAUUAGGGUGGAGAUUGAAGGAAAUAUGCCCUAGAGGCAAUAAUAAAGUUGUUAUUUAUAUUUCCUUAUAUCAUGAUAAAUUUUUAUUAUUCAUGCUAGAAUUGCAUUGACCGGAAACUUAGUACAUGUGUGAAUACAAAGACAAAACAAAAUGUCCCUAGUAUGCCUUGAUACGUCUCCAACGUAUCUAUAAUUUUUGAUUGUUCCAUGCUAUUAUAUUAUCUGUUUUAGAUGUUAAUGGGCUUUAUUUUACACUUUUAUAUUAUUUUUGGGACUAACCUAUUAACCUAAGGCCCAGUGCAAAUUGCUGUUUUUUUUUGCCUAUACCAGUGUUUCGCAGAAAGGAAUAUCAAACGGAGUCCAAACAGAAUGAAACCUUCGGGAGCGUGAUUUUUGGAACAAACGUGAUCCAGAGGACUUGGAGUGGACGUCAAGCAACCAACGAGGUGGCCACGAGGCAGGCGGCAUGCCUACCCCCCUGGGCGCACCCUCCCCCCUCGUGAGCCCCUCGUGGAUCCACCGACCUACUUCUUCCUCCUAUAUAUACCUAUGUACCCCAAAAACAUCUAGGAGCACCACGAAACCCUAUUUCCACUGCCGCAACCUUAUGUACCCAAGAGAUCCCAUCUUGGGGCCUUUUUCGGAGCUCCGCCGGAGCGGGCAUUGAUCACGGAGGGCCUCUACAUCAACUCCAUGGCCCCUCCGAUGAUGUGUGAGUAGUUUACCUCAGACCUUCGGGUCCAUAGUUAUUAGCUAGAUGGCUUCUUCUCUCUCUUUGGAUCUCAAUACAAAAUUCUCCUCGAUUCUCUUGGAGAUCUAUUCAAUGUAAUCUUCUUUUGCGGUGUGUUUUCCGAGAUCUGAUGAAUUAUGGGUUUAUGAUCAAGAUUAUCUAUGAACAAUAUUUGAAUCUUCUCUGAAUUCUUUUAUGUAUGAUUGGUUAUCUUUGCAAGUCUCUUCGAAUUAUCAGUUUGGUUUGGCCUACUAGAUUGAUCUUUCUUACAAUGGGAAAAGUGCUUAGCUUUGUGUUCAAUCUUGCGGUGCUCGAUCCUUGCUUUGGGCUUCAUUCCGUUUGGACUCCGUUUGAUAUUCUUUUUCUACGAAACCCUAUAAUAGGCAAAAAAUAGCAAUUCUGGGUUGGGCCUUCAGUUAUAGGUUUGUCCCAAAAAUAAUAUAAAAGUGUAUAGUAAAGCCCAAUAAUGUCCAAAACAGAAUAUAAUAUAGCAUGGAACAAUCAAAAAUUAUAGAUACGUUGGAGACGUAUCAAGCAUCCCCAAGCUUAAUUCCUGCUCAUCCUCGAGUAAGUAAAUGAUAAAAACAUAAUUUUUGAUGUGGAAUGCUACUUGGCAUAAUUUCAAUAUAAUUCUCUUAAUUGUGGCAUGAAUAUUCAGAUCCGAAAGAUUAAAGACAAAAGUUUAAUAUUGACAUAGAAAUAAUAAUACUUCAAGCAUACUAACUAAGCAAUUAUGUCUUGAUACGUCUCCAACGUAUCUAUAAUUUUUGAUUGCUCCAUGCUAUAUUAUCUACUGUUUUGGACUAUAUUGGGCUUUAUUUUCCACUUUUAUAUUAUUUUUGGGACUAACCUAUUAACCGGAGGCCCAGCCUAGAAUUGUUGUUUUUGCCUAUUUCAGUGUUUCAGAGAAACAUAAUAUCAAACGGAGUCCAAUAUUUCUAUCAAUCUAUCCCCCUAGGGGCAUGCGCGUAAUACUUUGCUUUUUUAACUUGUAGAUUUUUGGAAUAAGUAUAUGAGUUCUUUAUGACUAAUGUUGAGUCCAUGGAUUAUACGCACUUUUCUUCCUUCCACCAUUGCUAGCCUCUCUAAUACCGCGCACCUUUCGCCAGUAUCAUACACCCACCAUAUACCUUCCUCAAAACAGCCACCAUACCUACCUAUUAUGGCAUUUCCAUAGCCAUUCCGAGAUAUAUUGCCAUGCAACUUUCCACCGUUCCGUUUAUUAUGACACACUCCAUCAUUGUCAUAUUGCUUAGCAUGAUCAUGUAGUUGACAUCGUAUUUGUGGCAAAGACACCAUUCAUAAUUCUUUCAUACAUGUCACUCUUGAUUCAUUGCAUAUCCAGGUACACCGCCGGAGGCAUUCAUAUAGAGUCAUAUUUUGUUCUAAGUAUCGAGUUGUAAUUGUUGAGUUGUAAGAAAAUAAAAGUGUGAUGAUCAUCAUUAUUAGAGCAUUGUCCCAGUGAGGAAAGGAUGAUGGAGACUAUGAUUCCCCCACAAGUCGGGAUGAGACUCCGGACGAAAAAAAGAGAGAAAAGUGGCCAUAAAAAGGGAGAAAAGGCCCAAAUAAAAAAAUGAGAGAAAAAGAGAGAAGGGACAAUGUUACUAUCCUUUACCACACUUGUGCUUCAAAGUAGAACCAUGAUAUUCAUUAUAGAGAGUCUCUCAUUUCGUCACUAUCAUAUACUAGUGGGAUUUUUUCAUUAUAGAACUUGGCUUGUAUAUUCCAAUGAUGGGCUUCCUCAAAAUGCCCUAGGUCUUCAUGAGCAAGCAAGUUGGAUGCACACCCACUUAGUUUCUUUUUGAGCUUUCGUAUACUUAUAGCUCUAGUGCAUCCGUUGCAUGGCAAUCCGUACUCACUCACAUUUUUUUUGAAAACUUAGGACAGUGAAGGCAGCCCCCCACUGACUUUAUAUUACUUCAACCAACACAACUUACAAUCUACAUCCACUCUGUGGUUACAUGAUGGUUAUAAGAUUUCCACUAGAGGGAGAAGUGUGCUAAGGGUACAGACAGAAGGAAAGCAAACUUUUACAAGUUAGAUGGAAGCAACAAAACUAUCUACAAACAGCACCAAGGCCCCUUUGACUCUAUGUCUCAUCAUACCAAAGUCGUUUUUGAAUCUUAGGAGCCAACCAUCAACCGUAGGCAACACACCUCGAAAGUGUUUGUUAUUACGCUCCUUCCACAUGCUCCAAGCCGCUAUAACAAAGACUUCCAUAAACAUGGGCCCUGACCAUCUGUCCUUUGCCUCAUGCACAUACUGAAGCCUGUUCCUACCAUGCGCCCAUUCGAUUCCCAGCUUUCUCCAGCAAAUCUUACUGAAGGCACAUUCGAAGAAAAGAUGCUCCACCGUCUCUUCAGGUGGGUUGUCACAGAAGAGGCAAGUAUAUAGGUCAUCCCGCAGCCUCAUCCCUCUCCUUUUCAACAUGUUCCUGGUGUUUAACCUGUCCGCUAGGAGCAGCCAUGCAAAAACCCUCCACUUAUUAGUGCAUUUUGACUUCCAGAUCCAUUUGAACGCAUCAUCGGCCACCACCUCCCGGAAGCAAUGCUCAUAGUACUUUUUGGAGGCAAACUCUCCUGAUCCCCAAACACAUCUCCAAACGUCAGCAGCCUCAGACAAUUCCGUUGAGGCCAGGCCUCCUUGAAGGUCCCGCAGCUCGUCGCUGGCCUGCGGGGAGAGUGGUAGUUGGAAGUUUUGUCCGAGAGUCGGCGCAGCUAGCAAGGCUUGGACCGAGACAUCUUCGUGCACUGCGAAAGAGAAAAGCCUGGGGUGGCUAUCACAGAUUAUCCUGUCAUGCCACAAGUCUUCCCAAAAGAGAACCGUGCUCCCGUCUCCCACCUCCACCGUAGUGACCCCUCUGUAAGCUGGAGCGAGUUGGAGAAUGUCACGCCACCAGAACGAUCCGCGAGGUUCAAUUGCGUGUGGUACCACCCCCUCGUAGUACGUAGACCAAACCAGGUUAACCCACGACACGUCUCGGCGGUUGUAAAAUUUGUGCAACUACUUAAGCAGCAGGGCUUGAUUCUGAGUCUGAAGGUCGAUAACCCCCAGCCCACCUUUCUCUUUGGGGCGGCAGACCAGUCCCCACGCUGCCAAGGACAAUGCUUUGUGGCCAUCUUCUGUGUUCUUGGCCCAGAGACAAUAGCGCCUAAGCUUAUCAAGAUGUUCCACGAUCUUCGGAGGCAGCUUGAUGGAGCACAUAGCAUAGAUCGCCAGGGAUGUGAUCACGGAAUUGACCAGCGUUAGUUUUGACCCCAGGUCCAGAAGCGAGGCGGCAGUGGAUAGUCUGCGUUCGACUGAUGUAACCAGUGGCAUUAGGUCAGCCACCGUCGGCCUGGCCGUACCCAUCAGCAUGCCAAGGUAUGUGAACGGCAUCUCACCAACUUUGCAGCCAAAAACCUCUGCCAACCUAUUUGUUACAUCAUCCGCCGUAUUAACAGUCAUCAGCGUCGAUUUCUGAAAGUUGAUACGCAGCCCUAUGGAGGAGGCAUAGUCUUGCAGGAUGGUCUUGAUCGUCCCCGCUUGCAUUUGAUCAGUUGGCAUCACCAGAAUAGUGUCGUCCGCAUACUAGAUCACUGGAUAAUCAUCCUCCACGGUCGGCAGCGGCAACCGAAUCUGCCCGCUACGAAAAGCGUCAUUGAUGGCCGCUUGGAGGAGAUCAGCCGCCAAGACAAAGAUGAGCGGGGACAGUGGGUCACCUUGACGCACACCUCUCUUGCAGAAGAACUGCCUACCAGGAGUCCCGUUAAGCAGUAUGGAGGAUUUGGCGGUGGAGAAUAAGCAGCGGAUCCACCCAAGCCAACGGGCGUCAAAACCCAUGCAUUCCAUAAUCUGUAUCAUUGGAGCAUGUUCAAUCGUGUCGAAGGCUUUCGCGAAGUCAAGCUUGAGGAUGGCAAUCUUGUGAUUUGAGUUUUGGCACUGGUGUAUGAAUUCAUAAGCCCACGCCACACAAUCUUGGAUGGACCUACCCCUCAGGAAUCCGUACUAGUUACGGUGGAUAACCUUAAGAACCACUUUUUGUAGCCGAUUGGCCAAGAGUUUUGUCAGCAGCUUUAGACAACAGUUUAAAAGUGUUAUAGGGCGGUAAUCAUCCGCUGUCUCCGGUGAUUGCGUCUUUGGGAUGAGGGUAAUGAAUCCAGAGUUCAAACUUUCCAGGUCUAGCGUACCUGCAUGAAAAUUGAAGCAUAAUCUAUAGAACUCCUCCUUAAUGAUAUGCCAGCAUGCCUUAAUGAAGCUGCCACUAAAACCAUCCGGUCCAGGGGCACGAUCCGACGGCAUCUCCUUGACCACUUGAUCAAUUUCCUCCCUAGUAAAGGGCUCAGAUAAAACCUGCAGUCCAUCCACCUUCUUGAUGAUGCAAUUCAGAUCAAACUUCAUGUUGGUAGGACUAGAGCGCCCCAGCCUUUCCUUGUAAGUUUGGAGAAGAACAGCCUCUUUGCCCACAUGAUCAUAAACAACAGUGUCAUCCGACAGGCGCAGUGAGGCAAUGUUGUUUCGGUGGAAGCGCUCGGUCGCAACUCUAUGGAAGAAUUUGGUGUUGCCAUCUCCAAACUUGAAGUGUCUGAUGGUACAUCGCUUCUUCCAAUAUGCUUUUUUGCAUUCCAGUAAAUGCAAUAGAUGAGCUUUGAGGAUGUUUCUAAAGUUUGCUUCAGGGACAGACAGGCGCCGCCGAUCCUCAAGGCCAUCAAUCUCCAAGAGGAUAUUGUUGCAGUUCUCUAUCAGCACAGACAGCUUUGAGAUUUUCUUGUUCCACUGCUUUAGAUCAUACCGCAGUGUUUUGAGUUUUUUGCACAAAACCAUAGCUGAGUUUGGGGCGUAGCACUUUUUAUUCCAUGAUCGCUGAACCACAUCAAAGAAGCCUGGCUGCUUGAUCCAAUAGUCCUCGAACCGGAAUAGUUUGGUUUUAGGGAUUUUGGAUUGUAUGCUAACAUAACACGGCACAUGAUUCGGAAUAGUUUGGUUUUACUCACUCACAUUGAUAUCUAUUGAUGGGCAUCUCCAUAGCCCGUUGAUACGCCUAGUUGAUGUGAGACUAUCUUCUCCCUUUUUGUCUUCUCCACAACCAUCAUUCUAUUCCACAUAUAGUGCUAUAUCCAUGGCUCACGCUCAUGUAUUGCGUGAAGAUUGAAAAGGUUUGAGAAUGUCAAAAGUAUGAAACAAUUGCUUGGCUUGUCAUCGGGGUUGUGCAUGAUUUAAAUACUUUGUGUGGUGAAGAUAGAGCAUGGCCAGACUAUAUGAUUUUGUAGGGAUAACUUUCUUUGGCCAUGUUAUUUUGAGAAGACAUGAUUGCUUAUUAGUAUGCUUGAAGUAUUAUUGUUUUUAUGUCAAUAUUAAACUUUUAUCUUGAAUCUUUUGGAUCUGAAUAUUCAUGCCACAAUUAAGAAGAAUUACAUUGGAAUUAUGUCAAGUAGCAUUCCACAUCAAAAAUUCUGUUUUUAUCAUUUACCUACUCGAGGACGAGCAGGAAUUAAGCUUGGGGAUGCUUGAUAUGUCUCCAACAUAUCUAUAAUUUUUUAUUGCUCCGUGCUAUAUUAUCUACUAUUUUGGACAUUAUUGGGCUUUAUUAUCCACUUUUAUAUUGUUUUUGGGACUAACCUAUUAACCGGAGGCCCAACCUAGAUUGUUGUUUUUUGCCUAUUUUAGGGUUUCGAAGAAAAGGAAUAUCAAACGGAGUCCAAACGGAAUGAAACCUUCGGGGACAUGAUUUUCUCACCGAACAUGAUCCAGGAGACUUGGACCCUACGUCAAGCAACUAACAGGGAGGCCACGAGGUAGGGGGCGCGCCUACCCUCCCCCCCAGGCGCGCCCUCCACCCUCGUGGGCCCCCUGUUGCUCCACCGACGUACUCCUUCCACCUAUAUAUACCUAUGUACCCCCAAACGAUCAGAUACGGAGCCAAAAACCUAAUUCCACCACCGCAACCUUCUGUAUCCAUGAGAUCCCAUCUUGGGGCCUGUUCCGGAGCUCCGUCGGAGGGGGCAUCCAUCACGGAGGGCUUCUACAUCAACACCAUGGCCUCUUCGAUGAAGUGUGAGUAGUUUACCUCAGACCUUCGGGUCCAUAGUUAUUAGCUAGAUGACUUCUUCUCUCUUUUUGGAUCUCAAUACAAUGUUCUCCCCCUCUCUUGUGGAGAUCUAUUCGAUGUAAUCUUCUUUUUGCGGUGCGUUUGUUGAGACCGAUGAAUUGUGGGUUUAUGAUCAAGAUUAUCUAUGAACAAUAUUUGAAUCUUCUCUGAAUUCUUUUAUGUAUGAUUGGUUAUCUUUGCAAGUCUUUUCAAAUUAUCAGUUUGGUUUGGCCUACUAGAUUGAUCUUUCUUGCAAUGGGAGAAGUGCUUAGCUUUGGGUUCAAUCUUGCGGUGUCCUUUCCCAGUGACAGUAGGGGCCAAGGCACGUAUUGUAUUGUUGCCAUCGAGGAUAACAAGAUGGGUUUUUUAUCAUAUUGCAUGAAUUUAUCCCUCUACAUCAUGUCAUCUUGCUUAAGGCGUUACUCUCUUUUCAUGAACUUAAUACUCUAGAUGCAUGCUGGAUAGCGGUCGAUGAGUGGAGUAAUAGUAGUAGAUGCAGGCAGGAGUCGGUCUACUUGUCUCGGACGUGAUUCCUAUGUACAUGAUCGUUCCUAGAUAUUCUCAUAACUAUGCUCAAUUUUUGUCAAUUGCUCAACAGUAAUUCGUUCACCCACCGUAAAAUACUUAUGCUCUUGAGAGAAGCCACUAGUGAAAUCUAUGGCCCCCGGGUCUAUCUUCAUCAUAUUAAUCUUCCUUUGCUUUUUUACUUUGGUUUUAUUUUACUUUGCAUCUUUAUCAUAAAAAUACCAAAAAUAUUAUCUAUCAUAUCUAUCAGAUCUCACUCUCGUAAGUAACCGUGAAGGGAUUGCCAACCCUUAUCGCGUUGGUUGCGAGGAGUUAUUUGUUUUGUGCAGGUACAAGGGACUCGCGCGGAGCCUCCUACUGGAUUGAUACCUUGGUUCUCAAAAACUGUGGGAAAUACUUAUGCUACUUUGCUGCAUCGUCCUUUCCUCUUCAAGGAAAUCCAACGCAGUACUUUGUGUGGUGAAGAUAGAGCAUAGCCAGACUAUAUGAUUUUGUAGGGAUAACUUUCUUUGGCCAUGUUAUUUUGAGAAGACAUGAUUGCUUUAUUAGUAUGCUUGAAGUAUUAUUGUUUUAAUGUCAAUAUUGAACUUUUAUCUUGAAUCUUUCGGAUCUGAAUAUUCAUGCCACAAUUAAGAAGAAUUACAUUGAAAUUAUGCCAAGUAGCAUUCCACAUCAAAAAUUAUGUUUUUAUCAUUUACCUACUCGAGGACGAGCAGGAAUUAAGCUUGGGGAUGCUUGAUACGUCUCCAACAUAUCUAUAAUUCUUGAUUGCUCCAUGCUAUAUUAUCUACUGUUUUGGACAUUAUUGGGCUUUAUUAUCCACUUUUAUAUUAUUUUUGGGACUAACCUAUUAACCGGAGGCCCAGCCCAGAUUGCUGUUUUUUUUGCCUAUUUUAGGGUUUCGAAGAAAAGGAAUAUCAAAUGGAGUCCAAAAGGAAUGAAACCUUCGGGAACAUGAUCUUCUCACUGAAAAUGAUCCAGGAGACUUGGACCCUACGUCAAGCAACUAACAUGGAGGUGAAGGAAAUACUUGUGUGAAUACAUAGACAAACUAAACUAGAGGCAAUAAUAAUGUUAUUAUUUUAUUUCCUUAUAUCAUGAUAAAUGUUUAUUAUUCAUGCUAGAAUUGUAUUAUCUGGAAACAUAAUACUUGUGUGAAUACAUAGACAAACUAAACAUCACUAGUAUGCCUCUACUUGACUAGCUCAUUAAUCAAAGAUGGUUAAGUUUCCUAACCAUAGACAUGUGUUGUCAUUUGAUUAACGGGAUCACAUUAUUAGGAGAAUGAUGUGAUUGACAUGACCCAUUCCAUUAGCUUAGCACCCGAUCGUUUAGUAUGUUGCUAUUGCUUUCUUCAUGACUUAUACAUGUUCCUAUGACUAUGAGAUUAUGCAACUCCCGUUUGCCGGAGGAACACUUUGUGUGCUACCAAACGUCACAACGUAACUGGGUGAUUAUAAAGGUGCUGUAUAGGUGUCUCCAAAGGUACAUGUUGGGUUGGCAUAUUUCGAGAUUAGGAUUUGUCACUCCAAUUGUCGAAGAGGUAUCACUGGGCCCUCUCGGUAAUGCACAUCACCUAAGCCUUGCAAGCAAUGCAACUAAUGAGUUAGUUGCAAGAUGAUGUAUUACGGAACGAGUAAAGACACUUGCCGGCAACGAGAUUGAACUAGGUAUUGAUAUACCGACGAUCGAAUCUCGGGCACGUAACAUACCGAUGACAAAGGGAACAACGUAUGUUGUUAUGCGGUCUGACCGAUAAAAGAUCUUCGUAGAAUAUGUGGGAGCCAAUAUGAGCAUCCAGGUUCCGCUAUUGGUUAUUGACCGUAGACGUGUCUCGGUCAUGUCUACAUUGUUCUCGAACCCGUAGGGUCCGCACGCUUAAGGUUUCGAUGACAGUUAUAUUAUGAGUUUAUUAGUUUUGAUGUAUCGAAGUUAGUUCGGAGUCCCGGAUAUGAUCACGAACAUGACGAGGAGUCUCAAAAUGGUCGAGACAUAAAGAUUGAUAUAUUGGACGACUAUAUUCGGACACCGGAAGUGUUCCGGGGAAGUUUCGAAUAAAACCGGAGUACCGGGGGUUACCGGAACCCCCCCGGGAGUUAAUGGGCCUCAUGGGCCUAAAGUGGAGAAGAGGAGGGGCGGCCAAGGCAGGCCGCGCGCCCCCUCUCCCUCUAGUCCGAAUUGGACAAGGAGGGAGGGGCGGCGCCCCCCUUUCCUUCCUCUCCUCUCUCCCUUCCUCCCCCCUCUCCUACUUGGACAAGGAAAAGGAGGGAGUCCUACUCCCGGUAGUUGUAGGACUCCUCCCUGGCGCGCCUCCUCCUGGCCGGCCGCCCCUCCCCCUUGCUCCUUUAUAUAGGGGGCAGGGGGGCACCUCUAGAGACAACAAUUGAUCCUUGAGAUCUCUUAGCCGUGAGCGGUGCCCCCCUCCAAUAUAAUCCUCGAUAAUAUUGUAGCGGUGCUUAGGCGAAGCCCUGCGACGGUAGAACAUCAAGAUCGUCACCACGCCGUCAUGCUGACAGAACUCUUCCCCGACACUUUGCUGGAUCGGAGUCCGGGGAUCGUCAUCGAGCUGAACGUGUGCUAGAACUCGGAGGUGCCGUAGUUUCGGUGCUUGAUCGGUCGGGCCGUGAAGACGUACGACUACAUCAACCGCGUUGUUAUAACGCUUCCGCCUUCGGUCUACGAGGGUACGUGGACAACACUCUCCCCCCUCGUUGCUAUGCAUCACCAUGAUCUUGCGUGUGCGUAGGAAUUUUUUUGAAAUUACUACGUUCCCCAACAGUGGCAUCCGAGCCUAGGUUUUAUGUGUUGAUGUUAUAUGCACGAGUAGAACACAAGUGAGUUGUGGGCGAUAUAAGUCAUACUGCUUACCAGCAUGUCAUACUUUGGUUCGGCGGUAUUGUUGGAUGAAGCGGCCCGGACCGACAUUACGCGUACGCUUACGCGAGACUGGUUCUACCGACGUGCUUUGCACACAGGUGGAUGGCGGGUGUCUGUUUCUCCAACUUCAGUUGAACCAAGUGUGGCUACGCCUGGUCCUCGCGAAGGUUAAAACAGCACCAACUUGACAAACUAUCGUUGUGGUUUUGAUGCGUAGGUAAGAUUGGUUCUUGCUUAAGCCCGUAGCAGCCACGUAAAACUUGCAACAGACAAAGUAGAGGACGUCUAACUUGUUUUUGCAGGGCAUGUUGUGAUGUGAUAUGGUCAAGACAUGAUGCUAAAUUUUAUUGUAUGAGAUGAUCAUGUUUUGUAACCGAGUUAUCGGCAACUGGUAGGAGCCAUAUGGUUGUCGCUUUAUUGUAUGCAAUGCAAUCGCGCUGUAAUGCUCUACUUUAUCACUAAGUACAAGAUGCUCUACUGGUAGGAGCCAACUGGUAGGAGCCAUACGAUAGUCGUGGAAGCAUAAGAUUGGCGAUACGACAAUGAUGCAACGAUGGAGAUCAAGGUGUCGCGCCGGUGACGAUGGUGAUCAUGACGAUACUUCGGAGAUGGAGAUCACAAGUACAAGAAGAUGAUGGCCAUAUCAUAUCACUUAUAUUGAUUGCAUGUGAUGUUUAUCUUUUAUGCAUCUUAUAUUGCUUUGAUUGACGGUAGCAUUAUAAGAUGAUCUCUCACUAAAUUUCAAGAUAAAGGUGUUCUCCCUGAGUAUGCACCAUUGCCAAAGUUUGUCAUGCCCAGACACCACGUGAUGAUCGGGUGUGAUAAGCUCUACGUCCAUCUACAAUGGGUGCAAGCCAGUUUUUGCACAUGCAGAAUACUCAGGUUAAACUUGACGAGCCUAGCAUAUGCAGAUAUGGCCUCAGAACACUGAGACCUAAAGGUCGAGCGUGAAUCAUAUAGUAGAUAUGAUCAACAUAGCAAUGUUCACCAUUGAAAACUACUCCAUUUCACGUGAUGAUCGGUUAUGGUUUAGUUGAUUUGGAUCACGCGUAAUCACUUAGAAGAUUAGAGGGAUGUCUUUCUAAGUGGGAGUUCUUAAGUAAUAUGAUUAAUUGAACUUAAAUUUAUCAUGAACUUAGUACCUGAUAGUAUCUUGCUUGUUUAUGUUUGAUUGUGGAUAGAUGGCCCGUGCUGUUGUUCCGUUGAAUUUUAAUGCGUUCCUUGAGAAAGCAAAGUUGAAAGAUGAUGGUAGCAAUUACACAGAAUGGGUCUGUAACUUGAGGAUUAUCCUCAUUGCUGCACCGAAGAAUUACAUCCUGGAAGCACCGCUGGGUGCCAGGCCUGCUGCUGGAGCAACACCAGAUGUUAUGAACGUCUGGCAGAGCAAAGCUGAUGACUACUCGAUAGUUCAGUGUGCCAUGCUUUACGGCUUAGAAUCGGGACUUCAACGACGUUUUGAACGUCAUGGAGCAUAUGAGAUGUUCCAGGAGUUGAAGUUAAUAUUUCAAGCAAAUGCCCGGAUUGAGAGAUAUGAAGUCUCCAAUAAGUUCUAUAGCUGCAAGAUGGAGGAGAACAGUUCUGUCAGUGAGCAUAUACUCAAAAUGUUUGGGUAUAAUAAUCACUUGAUUCAAUUAGGAGUUAAUCUUCCAGAUGAUUGCGUCAUUGACAGAAUUCUCCAAUCACUGCCACCUAGCUACAAGAGCUUCGUGAUGAACUAUAAUAUGCAAGGGAUGAAUAAGACUAUUCCUGAGCUCUUCGCAAUGCUGAAAGCUGCGGAGGUAGAAAUCAAGAAAUCAAGAAGGAGCAUCAAGUGUUGAUGGUCAACAAGACCACUAGUUUCAAGAAAAGGGCAAAGGUAAGAAGAAGGGGAACUUCAAGAAGAACAGCAAGCAAGUUGCUGCUCAAGAGAAGAAACCCAAAUCUGGACCUAAGCCUGAAACCGAGUGCUUCUACUGCAAGCAGACUGGUCACUGGAAGCGGAACUGCCCGAAGUAUUUGGCGGAUAAGAAGGAUGGCAAGGUGAACAAAGGUAUAUGUGAUAUACAUGUUAUUGAUGUGUACCUUACUAGAGCUUGCAGUAGCACCUGGGUAUUUGAUACUGGUUCUGUUGCUAAUAUUUGCAACUCGAAACAGGGACUACGGAUUAAGCGAACACUGGCGAAGGACGAGGUGACGAUGCGCGUGGGAAAUGGUUCCAAAGUCGAUGUGAUCGCGGUCGGCACGCUACAUCUACAUCUACCAUCGGGAUUAGUAUUAGACCUAAAUAAUUGUUAUUUGGUGCCAGCGUUGAGCAUCAACAUUAUAUCUGGAUCUUAUUUGAUGCAAGACGGUUAUUCAUUUAAAUCAGAGAAUAAUGGCUGUUCUAUUUAGAUGAGUAAUAUCUUUUAUGGUCAUGCACCCUUGAAGAGUGGUCUAUUUUUGAUGAAUCUCGAUAGUAGUGAUACACAUAUUCAUAAUGUUGAAACCAAAAGAUGUAGAGUUGAUAAUGAUAGUGCAACUUAUUUGUGGCACUGCCGUUUAGGUCAUAUCGGUGUAAAACACAUGAAGAAACAACAUACUGAUGGACUUUUGGAAUCACUUGAUUAUGAAUCACUUGGUACUUGCAAACCGUGCCUCAUGGGCAAGAUGACUAAAACACCGUUCUCCGGUACUAUGUAGAGAGCAACAGAUUUGUUGGAAAUCAUACAUAUAGAUGUAUGUGGUCCAAUGAAUGUUGAAGCUCGUGGCGGAUAUCGUUAUUUUCUCACCUUCACAGAUGAUUUAAGCAGAUAUGGGUAUAUCUACUUAAUGAAACAUAAGUCUGAAACAUUUGAAAAGUUCAAAGAAUUUCAGAGUGAAGUUGAAAAUCAUCGUAACAAGAAAAUAAAGUUUCUACGAUCUGAUCGUGGAGGAGAAUAUUUGAGUUACGAGUUUAGUCUAAAUUUGAAACAAAGCGGAAUAGUUUCGCAACUCACGCCACCCGGAACACCACAGCGUAAUGGUGUGUCCGAACGUCGUAAUCGUACUUUACUUGAUAUGGUGCGAUCUAUGAUGUCUCUUACAGAUUUACCGCUAUCGUUUUGGGGUUAUGCUCUAGAGACAGCCACAUUCACGUUAAAUAGGGCACCAUCAAAAUCCGUUGAGACGACACCUUAUGAACUGUGGUUUGGCAAGAAACCAAAGUUGUCGUUUCUAAAAGUUUGGGGCUGCGAUGCUUAUGUGAAAAAGCUUCAACCUGAUAAGCUCGAACCCAAAUCGGAGAAAUGUGUCUUCAUAGGCUACCCAAAGGAGACUGUUGGGUACACCUUCUAUCACAGAUCCGAAGGCAAGACAUUCGUCGCUAAAAAUGGAUCCUUUCUAGAGAAGGAGUUUCUCUCGAAAGAAGUGAGUGGGAGGAAAGUAGAACUUGAUGAGGUAACUGUACCUGCUCCCUUAUUGGAAAGUAGUACAUCGCAGAAACCGGUUUCUGUGAUACCUACACCAAUUAGUGAGGAAGCUAAUGAUAAUGAUCAUGAAACUUCAGAACAAGUUACUACCGAACCUCGUAGAUCAACCAGAGUAAGAUCCGCACGAGAGUGGUACGGUAAUCCUGUUCUGGAAGUCAUGCUACUAGAUCAUGAUCAACCUACGAACUAUGAAGAAGCGAUGGUGAGCCCAGAUUCCGCAAAAUGGCUUGAAGCCAUGAAAUCUGAGAUGGGAUCCAUGUAUGAGAACAAAGUAUGGACUUUGGUUGACUUGCCCAAUGAUCGGCAAGCAAUUGAGAAUAAAUGGAUCUUCAAGAAGAAGACUGACGCUGACGGUAAUAUUAUUGUCUACAAAGCUCGACUUGUCGCAAAAGGUUUUCGACAAGUUCAAGGGAUUGACUACGAUGAGACCUUCUCAUCCGUAGUGAUACUUAAGUCUGUCCGAAUCAUGUUAGCAAUUGCCGCAUUUUAUGAUUAUGAAAUUUGGCAGAUGGACGUCAAAACUGCAUUCCUGAAUGGAUUUCUGGAAGAAGAGUUGUAUAUGAUGCAGCCGGAAGGUUUUGUCGAUCCAAAGGGAGCUAACAAAGUGUGCAAGCUCCAGCGAUCCAUUUAUGGACUGGUGCAAGCCUCUCGGAGUUGGAAUAAACGCUUUGAUAGUGUGAUCAAAGCAUUUGGUUUUGUACAUACUUUUGGAGAAGCCUGUAUUUACAAGAAAGUGAGUGGGAGCUCUGUAGCAUUUAUGAUAUAUAUGUAGAUGACAUAUUACUAAUAGGAAAUGAUAUAGAAUUUCUGGAUAGCAUAAAGGGAUACUUGAAUAAGAGUUUUUCAAUGAAAGACCUCGGUGAAGCUGCUUACAUAUUGGGCAUUAAAAUCUAUAGAGAUAGAUCAAGACGCUUAAUUGGACUUUCACAAAGCACAUACCUUGACAAAGUUUUGAAGAAGUUCAAAAUGGAUCAAGCAAAGAAAGGAUUCUUGCCUGUGUUACAAGGUGUGAAAUUGAGUAAGACUCAAUGCCCGACCAAUGCAGAAGAUAGAGAGAAAAUUAAAGAUGUUCCCUAUGCUUCAGCCAUAGGCUCUAUCAUGUAUGCAAUGCUGUGUACCAGACCUGAUGUGUGUCUUGCUAUAAGUCUAGCAGGGAGGUACCAAAGUAAUCCAGGAGUGGAUCACUGGACAGCGGUCAAAAACAUCCUGAAAUACCUGAAAAGGACUAAGGAUAUGUUUCUCAUAUAUGGAGGUGACAAAGUGCUCAUCAUAAAUGGUUACGUUGAUGCAAGCUUUGACACUGAUCCGAACGAUUCUAAAUUGCAAACCGGAUACGUGUUUACAUUAAACGGUGGAGCUGUUAGUUGGUGCAGUUCUAAACAAAGCGUUGUGGCGGGAUCUACAUGUGAAGCGGAGUACAUAGCUGCUUCGGAAGCAGCAAAUGAAGGAGUCUGGAUGAAGGAGUUCAUAUCCGAUCUAGGUGUCAUACCUAGUGCAUCGGGUCCAAUGAAAAUCUUUUGUGACAAUACUGGUGCAAUUUCCUUGGCAAAGGAAUCCAGAUUUCACAAGAGAGCCAAGCACAUCAAGAGACGCUUCAAUUCCAUCCGGGAUCUAGUCCAGGUGCGAGACAUAGAGAUUUGCAAGAUACAUACAGAUCUGAAUGUUGCAGACCCAUUGACUAAGCCUCUUCCACGAGCAAAACAUGAUCAUCACCAAAGCUCCAUGGGUGUUAGAAUCAUUAUUGUGUAAUCUAGAUUAUUGACUCUAGUGCAAGUGGGAGACUGAAGGAAAUAUGCCCUAGAGGCAAUAAUAAUGUUAUUAUUUUAUUUCCUUAUAUCAUGAUAAAUGUUUAUUAUUCAUGCUAGAAUUGUAUUAUCCGGAAACAUAAUACUUGUGUGAAUACAUAGACAAACUAAACGUCACUAGUAUGCCUCUACUUGACUAGCUCAUUAAUCAAAGAUGGUUAUGUUUCCUAACCAUAGACAUGUGUUGCCAUGUGAUUAACGGGAUCACAUUAUUAGGAGAAUGAUGUGAUUGACAUGACCCAUUCCAUUAGCUUAGCACCCGAUCGUUUAGUAUGUUGCUAUUGCUUUCUUCAUGACUUAUACAUGUUCCUAUGACUAUGAGAUUAUGCAACUCCCGUUUGCCGGAGGAACACUUUGUGUGCUACCAAACGUCAGAACGUAACUGGGUGAUUAUAAAGGUGCUCUACAGGUGUCUCCAAAGGUACAUGUUGGGUUGGCGUAUUUCGAGAUUAUGAUUUGUCACUCCGAUUGUCGGAGAGGUAUCUCUGGGCCCACUCGGUAAUGCACAUCACCUAACCCUUGCAAGCAAUGCAACUAAUGAGUUAGUUGUGAGAUGAUGUAUUAUGGAACGAGUAAAGAGACUUGCCGGCAACGAGAUUGAACUAGGUAUUGAGAUACCGACGAUCGAAUCUCGGGCAAGUAACAUACUGAUGACAAAGGGAACAACGUAUGUUGUUAUGCUGUCUGACCGAUAAAAGAUCUUCGUAGAAUAUGUGGGAGCCAAUAUGAGCAUCCAGGUUCCGCUAUUGGUUAUUGACCGGAGACGUGUCUCGGUCAUGUCUACAUUGUUCUCGAACCCGUAGGGUCCGCACGCUUAAGGUUUCGAUGACAGUUAUAUUAUGAGUUUAUUAGUUUUGAUGUACCGAAGUUGGUUCGGACUCCCGGAUAUGAUCACAGACAUGACGAGGAGUCUCGAAAUGGUCGAUACAUAAAGAUUGAUAUAUUGGACGACUAUAUUCGGACACCGGAAGUGUUCCGGGGAAGUUUCGGAUAAAACCGGAGUAUCGGGGGGUUACCGGAACCCCCCCGGGGGUUAAUGGGCCUCAUGGGCCUAAAGUGGAGAAGAGGAGGGGCGGCCAAGGCAGGCCGCGUGCCCCCUCUCCCUCUAGUCCGAAUUGGACAAGGAGGGAGGGGCGGCGUCCCCCCUUUCCUUCCUCUCCUCUCUCCCUUCCUUCCCCCUCUCCUACUUGGACAAGGAAAAGGAGGGAGUCCUACUCCCGGUAGGAGUAGGACUCCUCCCUGGAGCGCCUCCUCCUGGCCGGCCGCCCCUCCCCCUUGCUCCUUUAUAUAUGGGGGCAGGGGGCACCCCUAGAGACAACAAUUGAUCCUUGAGAUCUCUUAGCCAUGUGUGGUGCCUCCCUGCGAUGGUAGAACAUCAAGAUCGUCACCACGCCGUCAUGCUGACGGAACUCUUCCCCGACACUUUGCUAGAUCGGAGUCCGGGGAUCAUCAUCGAGAUGAACGUGUGCUGGAACUCGGAGGUGCCGUAGAUUCGGUGCUUGAUCGGUCGGGCCGUGAAGACGUACGACUACAUCAACCGCGUUGUUAUAACGCUUCCUCUUUCGGUCUACGAGGGUACGUGGACAACACUCUCCCCUCUUGUUGCUAUGCAUCACCAUGAUCUUGCGUGUGCGUAGGAAAUUUUUUGAAAUUACUAUGUUCCCNNNNNNNNNNNNNNNNNNNNNNNNNNNNNNNNNNNNNNNNNNNNNNNNNNNNNNNNNNNNNNNNNNNNNNNNNNNNNNNNNNNNNNNNNNNNNNNNNNNNNNNNNNNNNNNNNNNNNNNNNNNNNNNNNNNNNNNNNNNNNNNNNNNNNNNNNNNNNNNNNNNNNNNNNNNNNNNNNNNNNNNNNNNNNNNNNNNNNNNNNNNNNNNNNNNNNNNNNNNNNNNNNNNNNNNNNNNNNNNNNNNNNNNNNNNNNNNNNNNNNNNNNNNNNNNNNNNNNNNNNNNNNNNNNNNNNNNNNNNNNNNNNNNNNNNNNNNNNNNNNNNNNNNNNNNNNNNNNNNNNNNNNNNNNNNNNNNNUCCACUGACGUACUCCUUCCACCUAUAUAUACCUACGUACCCCCAAACGAUCAGGUACGGAGCCAAAAACAUAAUUCCACCGACGCAACCUUCUGUAUCCACGAGGUCCCAUCUUGGGGCCUGUUCCGGAGCUCCGCCGGAUGGGGCAUCCAUCACAGAGGGCUUCAACAUCAACACCAUAGCCUCUCCGAUGAAGUGUGAGUAGUUUACCUCAGACCUUCGGGUCCAUAGUUAUUAGCUAGAUGACUUCUUCUCUCUUUUUGGAUCUCAAUACAAUGUUCUCCCCCUCUCUUGUGGAGAUCUAUUGGAUGUAAUCUUCUUUUUGCGGUGCGUUUGUUGAGACCGAUGAAUUGUGGGUUUAUGAUCAAGAUUAUCUAUGAACAAUAUUUGAAUCUUCUCUAAAUUCUUUUAUGUAUGAUUGGUUAUCUUUGCCAGUCUCUUCGAAUUAUCAGUUUGGUUUGGCCUACUAGAUUGAUCUUUCUUGCAAUGGGAGAAGUGCUUAGCUUUGGGUUCAAUCUUGCGGUGUCCUUUCCCAAUGACAGUAGGGGGAGCAAGGCACGUAUUGUAUUGUUCCCAUCGAGGAUAAGAAGAUGGUUUUUUUUAUCAUAUUGCAUGAAUUUAUCCCUCUACAUCAUGUCAUCUUGCUUAAGGCGUUACUCUCUUUUCAUGAACUUAAUACUCUAGAUGCAGGCAGGAGUCGGUCUACUUGUCUCGGACGUUAUGCCUAUAUACAUGAUCAUACCUAGAUAUUCUCAUAACUAUGCUCAAUUUUGUCAAUUGCUCAACAGUAAUUCGUUCACCCACCGUAAAAUACUUAUGCUCUUGAGAGAAGCCACUAGUGAAACCUAUGGCCCCCGGGUCUAUCUUCAUCAUAUAAAUCUUCCUUUGCUUUUUACUUUGCUUUUAUUUUACUUUGCAUCUUUAUCAUAAAAAUACGAAAAAUAUUAUCUUAUCAUAUCUAUCAGAUCUCACUCUUGUAAAUGACCGUGAAGGGAAUGACAACCCCUUAUCGCGUUGGUUGCGAGGAGUUAUUUGUUUUGUGUAGGUACAAGGGACUCCCACGGAGCCUUCUACUGGAUUGAUACCUUGGUUCUCAAAAACUGAGGGAAAUAAUUACGCUACUUUGCUGCAUCAUCCUUUCCUCCUCAAGGAAAUCCAACGCAGUGCUCAAGAGGUAGCAACCUCCCCGACAACGGCACCAGAAGUCCUUGCUACCUCUUGAGCACUUGCAUUGGUUUUCCCUUGAAGAGGAAAGGGUGGUCCAGCAAAGUAGCGUAAGUAUUUCCCUCAUUUUUUGAGAACCAAGGUAUCAAUCCAGUAGGAGGCCACGCAUGAGUCCCUCGUACCUACACAAACAAAUAAAUCCUCGCAACCAACGCAAUAAGGGGUUGUCAAUCCCUACACGGUCACUUAUGAGAGUGAGAUCUUAUAGAUAUGAUAAGAUAAUAUUUUUGGUAUUUUUAUGAUAAAGAUGCAAAGUAAAAUAAGAGACAAUAAAAAUAAAUAAGUAUUGGAAGAUUAAUAUGAUAUAAGAUAGACCCGGGGGCCAUAGGUUUCACUAGUGGCUUCUCUCGAGAGCAUAAGUAUUCAUGGCGGGUAAACAAAUUACUGUUGAACAAUUGACAGAAUUGAGCAUAGUUAUGAGAAUAUCUAGGUAUGAUCAUGUAUAUAGGCAUCACGUCCAAGACAAGUAGACCGACUCCUGCCUACAUCUACUACUAUUACCCCACACAUCGACCGCUAUCCAGCAUGCAUCUAGAGUAUUAAGUUCAAGAGAACAGAGUAACGCUUUAAGCAAGAUGACAUGAUGUAGAGGGAUAAACUCAAGCAAUAUGAAAUAAACCCCAUCUUGUUAUCCUCGAUGGCAACAAUACAAUACGUGCCUUGCUGCCCCUACUGUCACUGGGAAAGGACACUGCAAGAUUGAACCCAAAGCUAAGCACUUCUCCCAUUGCAAGAAAGAUCAAUCUAGUAGGACAAACCAAACUGAUAAUUCAAAGAGACUUGCAAAGAUAACCAAUCAUACAUAAAAGAAUUCAGAGAAGAUUCAAAUAUUGUUCAUAGAUAAACUUGAUCAUAAACCCACAAUUCAUCGGUCUCAACAUACACACCGCAAAAGAAGAUUACAUCGAAUAGAUCUCCACAAGAGAGGGGGAGAACUUUGUAUUGAGAUCCAAAAAGAGAGAAGAAGUCAUCUAGCUAAUAACUAUGGACACAUAGAUCUGAGGUAAACUACUCACACUUCAUCGGAAGGGCUAUGGUGUUGAUGUAGAAGCCCUCCGUAAUCGAUGCCCCCUCCGGCGGAGCUCCAGAACAGGCCCCAAGAUGGGAUCUCGUGGACACAGAAAGUUACGGCGGUGGAAUUAGGGUUUUGGCUCCGUAUCUGGUAGUUUGGGGGUACGUAGGUAUAUAUAGGAGGAAGGAGUACAUCGGUGGAGCAACAAGGGGCCCACGAGGGUGGAGGGCGCGCCCCCACCUCGUGGCCUCCUGGUUGAUGUCUUGAUGUAGGGUCCAAGUCCUCUGGAUCAUGUUCGUUCCGAAAAUCACGUUCCCGAAGGUUUCAUUCCGUUUGGACUCCGUUUGAUAUUCUUUUUCCGCGAAACCCUAAAAUAGGCCAAAAAACAGCAAUUCUGGGCUGGGCCUCCGGUUAAUAGGUUAGUCCCAAAAAUAAUAUAAAAGUGUAUAAUAAAGCCCAAUAAUGUCCAAAAUAGAAUAUAAUAUAGCAUAGAACAAUCAAAAAUUAUAGAUACAUUGGAGACGUAUCAUGAGGUGACUCGCGCAUGGUCUCCUACUGGAUUGAUACCUUGGUUCUCAAAAACUGAGGGAAAUACUUACGCUGCUUUGCUGCAUCACCCUUUCCUCUUCAAGGGAAAACCAACGCAUGCUCAAGAGGUAGCAUGCCUCUACUUCACUAGCUCGUUAAUCAACGAUGGUUAUGUUUCCUGACCAUAGACAUGUGUUGUCAUUUGAUGAACGGGAUCAUAUCAUUAGAGAAUGAUGUGAUGGACAAGACCCAUCCAUUAGCUUAGCAUAAUGAUCGUUUAGUUUUAUUUCUAUUGCUUUCUUCAUGACUUAUACAUAUUCCUCUAACUAUGAGAUUAUGCAACUCCCGAAUACCGUAGGAACACAUUGUGUGCUAUCAAACGUCACAACAUAACUGGGUGAUUACGAAGAUGCUCUACACGGGUCUCCGAAGGUGUUUGUUGAGUUGGCAUAGAUCGAGAUUAGAAUUUGUCACUCCGAGUAUCGGAGAGGUAUCUCUGGGCCCUCUCGGUAAUCCAUAUCACUAUAAGCCUUGAAAGCAAUGUAACUAAUGAGUUAGUUACGGGAUGAUGCAUUACAGAACGAGUAAAGAGACUUGCUGGUAACGAGAUUGAACUAGGUAUGUUGAUACCGACGAUCGAAUCUCGGGCAAGUAACAUACCGAUGACAAAGGGAAUGACAUAUGUUGUUAUGCGGUUUGACCGAUAAAUAUCUUCAUAGAAUAUGUAUAAGCCAAUAUGAGCAUCUAGGUUCCAGUAUUGGUUAUUGACCGGAGAUGUGUCUUGGUCAUGUCUACAUAGUUCUCGAAUCCGUAGGGUCCGCACGCUUAACGUUCGAUGACGAUUUGUAUUAUGAAUUAUGUGUUUUGGUGACCGAAGUUUGCUCGGAGUCCCGAAUGAGAUCACAGACAUGACGAGGAGUCUCGAAAUGGUCGAGAGAUAAAUAUUCAUAUAUUGGAAGGUUAUAUUCGGACAUCGGAAUGGUUCCAAGUGAUUCGAAUAUUUUACGGGAGUACCGAGGGGUUACCGGAACCCUCCGGGGGAAUAAUGGGCCUUAGUGGGCAUUAGUGAAGAGAGAGGAGGGCCGCACGAGAGGUGGUGCGCGCGCCCCUUGCCCAAUCUGAAUUGGACAAGGGGAGGGGGAACCCCCCUUUCCCUUACCCUCUCCCUCUCCUUCCUAUUCCCUCCGGUUGAGAAANNNNNNNNNNNNNNNNNNNNNNNNNNNNNNNNNNNNNNNNNNNNNNNNNNNNNNNNNNNNNNNNNNNNNNNNNNNNNNNNNNNNNNNNNNNNNNNNNNNNNNNNNNNNNNNNNNNNNNNNNNNNNNNNNNNNNNNNNNNNNNNNNNNNNNNNNNNNNNNNNNNNNNNNNNNNNNNNNNNNNNNNNNNNNNNNNNNNNNNNNNNNNNNNNNNNNNNNNNNNNNNNNNNNNNNNNNNNNNNNNNNNNNNNNNNNNNNNNNNNNNNNNNNNAAUCCUACUUGAGCUAGGAGUCCAAGUAGGACUCCCCCCUUGGCGCGCCCCUCCUAGCCGCUGGCCUCCUCCUCCUCCUUUAUAUACGGGGGCGGGGGGCACCCCAAAGGACACCAAGAUUUCUCUUAGUCGUGUGCGGUACCCCCCCCCCUCCACAAUUUACUCCUCCGUUCAUAUUGUCGUAGUGCUUAGGAGAAGCCCUGCGCGGAUCACAUCACCAUCACCGUCGCCACGCCGUCGUGCUGAUGGAACUCUCCCUCGACCCUCUACUGGAUCAAGAGUUCGAGGGACGUCAUCGAGCUGAACGUGUGCUGAACAUGGAGGUGUCAUACGUUCGGUACUUGGAUCAGUCGGAUCGUCAAGACAUUCGACUACAUCAACCGCGUUAAUCUAACACUUCCGCUUUUGUUCUACAAGGGUACGUGGACACAGUCUCCCCUCUCACCCUCUCAUUGCUAUGCAUCUCCUAGAUAGAUCUUGCUUGAUCAUAGGAUUUUUUUUGAAAUUGCUUGCUACGUUCCCCAACAAUGGUAUCAUAGCCAGGUUUAUGUGUAGAUGAUAUGCACGGGUAGAACACAAAGAGUUGUGCACAAUAAUAGUCAUACUACUUACCACCAACAUCUUACUUUGAUUCGGCGGUAUUAUUGGAUGAAGCGGCCCAGACCGACAUUACAUGACCGCGUUCAUGAGACUGGUUCUACCGACGUGCUUUGCACACAGGUGGCUAGCGGGUGUCUGUUUCUCCAACUUUAGUUGAAUCGAGUUUGACUACGGCCGGUCCUUAUUGAAGGUUAAAAAAUCGUUGUGGUUUUGAUGCGUAGGUAAGAACGGUUCUUGCUAGAAGCCCGUAGCAUCCACGUAAAACUUGCAGGAACAAAGUAGAGGACGUCUAACUUCUUUUUGCAAGGCAUGUUGUGAUGUGAUAUGGUCAAGACGUGUUGAGAUAUAAAUUGUUGUAUGAGAUGAUCAUGUUUUGUAAAAGUUAUCGGCAACUGGCAGGAGCCUUAUGGUUGUCGCUUUAUUGUAUGAAAUGCAAUCGACAUGUAAUUUCUUUACUUUAUCACUAAGCGGUAGCGAUAGUCGUAGAAGCAAUAGUUGGCGAGACGACAACGACGCUACGAUGGAGAUCAAGGUGUCAAGCCGGUGACGAUGGAGAUCAUGACGGUGCUUUUGAGAUGGAGAUCAAUGGCACAAGAUGAUGAUGGCAAUAUCAUGUCACAUAUUUUGAUUGCAUGUGAUAUUUAUCCUUUAUGCAUCUUAUUUUGCUUAGUACGGCGGUAGCAUUAUAAGAUGAUCCCUCACUAAAUUUCAAGGUACAAGUUUUCUCCCUGAGUAUGCACCGUUGCUACAGUUCGUUGUGCCGAGACACCACGUGAUGAUCGGGUGUGAUAAGCUCUACGUUCACAUACAAUGGGUGCAAGCCAGUUUUGCACAUGCAGAAUACUCGGGUUAAACUGGACGAGCCUAGCAUAUGCAGAUAUGGCCUCGGAACAUUGAGACCGAAAGGUCGAACAUGAAUCAUAUAGUAGAUAUGAUCAACAUAGUGAUGUUCACCAUUGAAAACUACUCCAUCUCACGUGAUGAUCGGACAUGGUUUAGUUGAUAUGGAUCACGUGAUCAUUUAGAUGACUAGAGGGAUGUCUAUCUAAGUGGGAGUUCUUAAGUAAUAUGAUUAAUUGAACUUUAAUUUAUCAUGAACUUAGUACCUGAUAGUUUUCGCAUAUCUAUGUUGUUGUAGAUCAAUGGCACGUGCUCCCGUUCCCUUGAAUUUUAAUGCGCUCCUAGAGAAAGCUAAGUUGAAAGAUGAUGGUAGCAACUACACGGACUAGGUCCGUAACUUGAGGAUUAUCCUCAUUGCUGCACAGAAGAAUUACGUCCUUGAACCACCGCUAGGUGUGCCACCCCCUCCAACAACUAUGGACAUUGUGAAUGCCUGACAGUCGCGUGUUGAUGACUACUCGAUAGUUCAAUGUGCCAUGCUUUAUGGCUUAGAAUCGGGACUUCAACAACGUUUCGAACGUCAUGUAUCAUAUGAGAUGUUCCAGGAGUUGCAGUUAAUAUUUCAAGUAAAUGCAUGAGUUGAGAGAUAUGAAGUCUCCAACAAGUUCUAUAGCUGCAAGAUGGAGGAGAAUAGUUCUGUCAGUGAACACAUACUCAGAAUGUCUGGGUACCAUAACUACUUGACUCAGCUGGGAGUUAAUAUUCCUGAUGAUAGUGUCAUUGAUAGAGAUAUUCAGUCACUUCCACCAAGUUAUAAAGGUUUCAUGAUGAACAAUAAUAUGCAAGGGAUGUAAAAGACAAUUCCCGAGCUCUUCGUAAUGCUAAAGGCUACGGAGGUAGAAAUCAAGAAGGAGCAUCAAGUGUUGGUGGUUAACAAGACCACUAGUUUCAAGAAAAAGGGCAAAGGGAAGAAGGGGAACUUCAAGAAAAAUAGCAAGCAAGUUGCUGCUCAAGGGAAGAAGCCCAAGUCUGGACCUAAGCCUGAAACUGAGUGCUUCUACUGCAAAGGGACUGGUCACUGAAAGCAGAACUUCCCCAAGUAUUUGGCAGAUAAGAAGGAUGGCAAAGUGAAAGGUAUAUUUGAUAUACAUGUUAUUGAUGUGUACCUUACUAAUGCUCAUAGUAGCGUCUGGGUAUUUGAUACUAGUUCUAUUGCUCAUAUUUGCAACUCAAAACAAGGGCUACGGAUUAAAUGAAGAUUGGCUAAGGACGAGGUGACGAUGCGUGUGUGAAAUGGUUCCAAAGUCGAUGUGAUCACCGUCGGCAUGCUACCCCUACAUCUACCAUCGGGAUUAGUUUUAGACCCAAAUAAUUGUUAUUUGGUGCCAGCCUUGAGCAUGAACAGUAUAUCUAGAUCUUGUUUGAUGCGAGAUGGUUAUUCAUUUAAAUCAGAGAAUAAUGGUUGUUCUGUUUAUAUGAGUAAUAUCUUUUAUGGUCAUGCACCCUUGGUGAGUGGUCUAUUUUUGUUGAAUCUCGAUUGUAGUGAUACACAUAUUCAUAAUAUUGAAGCCAAAAAAUGCAAAGUUAAUAAUGAUAGUGCAACUUAUUUGUGGCACUGCCGUUUAGGUCAUAUUGGUGUAAAGCGCAUGAAGAAACUCCAUGCUGAUGGGCUUUUGGAAUCACUUGAUGCUUGCGAACCAUGCCUCAUGGGCAAGAUGACUAAGACUCCGUUCUCCGGAACAAUGGAGCAAGCAACUGACUUAUUGGAAAUAAUACAUACUGAUGUAUGCGGUCCGAUGAGUGUUGAGGUUCGCGGCGGGUAUCAUCAUUUUUUUGACCUUCAUAGAUGAUUUGAGCAGAUAUGGGCAUAUCUACUUAAUUAAACAUAAGUCUGAAACAUUUGAAAAGUUCAAAGAAUUUCAGAGUGAAGUGGAAAAUCAUCGUAACAAGAAAAUAAAGUUUCUACAAUCUGAUCAUGGAGGUGAAUAUUUGAGUUAUGAGUUUGGUCUUCAUUUGAAACAAUGUGGAAUAGUUUCACAACUCCCGCCACCUGGAACACCGCAGCGUAAUGGUGUGUCCGAAAGUCAUAACCGUACUUUAUUAGAUAUGAUGCGAUCUAUGAUGUCUCUUGCUGAUUUACCGCUAUCGUUUUGGGGUUAUGCUUUAGAGACGGCUGCAUUCACGUUAAAUAGGGCACCAUCUAAAUCCGUUGAGACGACACCUUAUGAUAUGUGGUUUAGCAAGAAACCUAAGUUGUCGUUUCUUAAAGUUUGAGGUUGCGAUGCUUAUGUGAAAAAUCUUCAACCUGAUAAGCUCGAACCCAAAUCGGAGAAAUGUGUCUUCAUAGGGUACCCAAAGUAAAUUGUUGGGUACACCUUCUAUCACAGAUCCGAAGGCAAGAUAUUUGUUGCUAAGAAUGGAUCCUUUCUAGAGAAGGAGUUUCUCUCGAAAGAAGUGAGUGGGAGGAAAGUAGAACUUGAUGAGGUAAUCGUACCUUCUCCGGAAUUGGAAAGUAGUUCAUCACAGAAACCAGUUCCAGUGAUUCCUACACCAGUUCCAGAUCAAGUUACCACUGAACCUCGUAGCUCAACCAGAGUACGAUCCACACCAAAGUGGUACGGUAAUCCUGUUCUGGAGGUCAUGUUACUUGAUCAUGACGAACCUACGAACUAUGAGGAAGCGAUGAUGAGCCCAGAUUCCAUGAAAUGGCUUGAGGCCAUGAAAUCUGAGAUGGGAUCCAUGUAUGAGAACAAAGUGUGGACUUUGGUUGACUUGCCCAAUGAUCGGCAAGCCAUAGUGAAUAAAUGGAUUUUCAAGAAGGAGACUGAUGCCAACGGUAAUGUUACUGUCUGCAAAGAUUGACUUGUUGCAAAAGGUUUUCGACAAGUUCAAGGAGUUAACUACGAGACUUUCUCACCCAUAGCAAUGCUUAAGUCUAUCCGAAUCAUGUUAGCAAUUGCCGCAUUUUAUGAUUAUGGAAUUUGGCAAAUGGAUGUCAAAACUGCAUUCCUUAAUGGAUAUCUUAAAAAAGAGUUGUAUAUGAUGCAACCAGAAGGUUUUGUCGAUACUAAAGGUGCUAACAAACUGUGCAAGCUCCAGCGAUCCAUUUAUGGACUGGUGCAAGCCUCUCGAAGUUGGAAUAUACGAUUUGAUAGUGUGAUCACAACAUAUGGUUUUAUACAGACUUUUGGAGAAGCCUGUAUUUAGAAGAAAGUGAGUGGGAGCUCUGUAGCAUUUCUAAUAUUAUAUGUGGAUGGCAUAUUGAUUAUUGGAAAUAAUACAUAAUUUCUGGAUAGCAUAAAAGAAUACUUGAAUAAGAAUUUUUCAAUGAAAGACCUCGGUGAAACUUCUUACAUAUUGGGCAUCAAGAUCUAUAAUGAUAGAUCAAGACACGUAAUUGGACUUUCACAAAGCACAUACCUUGAUAAAGUUUUGAAGAAGUUCAAAAUGGACCAGUCAAAGAAAGGGUUCUUGCCUGUGUUAAAAGGUGUGAAGUUGAGUCAGACUCAAUGCCUGACCACUGAGAGAAAAUGAAAGCCAUUUCCUAGGCCUAAGCCAUAGGUUCUAUCAUGCAUGCAAUGCUGUGUACCAGACCUGAUGUGUGCCUUGCUAUAAGUUUAGUACGGAGGUACCAAAGUAAUCUUGGAGUGGAUCACUGGACAGCGGUCAAGAACAUCCUGAAAUACCUAAAAAGGACAAAGAUAUGUUUCUCAUUUAUGGGGGAGACAAAGAGCUUAUCGUAAAUCGUUACGUCAAUGCAAGCUUUGACACUGAUCCGGAUGACUCUAAGUCACAAACCGGAUACGUAUUUAUAUUGAAUGGUGGAGCUGUAAGUUGGUGCGGUUCCAAGCAGAGCGUCGUGGCGGGAUCUAUGUGUGAAGCAGAGUACAUAGCUGCUUCGGAAGCAGCAAAUGAAGGAGUGCAUAUCCGAUCUAGGUGUAAUACCUAGUGCAUCGGGUCCAAUGAAAAUCUUUUGUGACAAUACUGGAGCAAUUGCCUUGGCGAAGGAAUCCAGAUUUCACAAGAGAACCAAACACAUCAAGAGACGCUUCAAUUCCAUCCGCGAUCAAGUCAAGGAGGGAGACAUAGAGAUUUGCAAAAUACAUACAGAUCUAAAUGUUGCAGACCCGGUGAUUAAGACUCCAUGGGUGUUAGAAUCAUUACUAUGUAAUCUAGAUUAUUGAUUCUAGGGCAAGUGGGAGACUGAAGGAAAUAUGCCCUAGAGGCAAUAAUAAAGUUGUUAUUUACAUUUCCUUAUAUCAUGAUAAAUGUUUAUUAUUCAUACUAGAAUUGUAUUAACCGGAAACUUAGUACAUGUGUGAAUACAUAGACAAAACAGAGUGUCCCUAGUAUGCCUCUACUUGACUAGCUCGUUAAUCAAAGAUGGUUAUGUUUCCUGACCAUAGACAUGUGUUGUCAUUUGAUGAACGGGAUCACAUUAUUAGAGAAUGAUGUGAUGGACAAGACCCAUCCGUUAGCUUAGCAUAAUGAUCGUUUAGUUUUAUUGCUAUUGCUUUCUUCAUGACUUGUACAUAUUCCUAUGACUAUGAGAUUAUGCAACUCCCGAAUACCGGAGGAACACCUUGUGUGCUAUCAAACGUCACAACAUAACUAGGUGAUUAUAAAGAUAUUCUACAGGUGUCUCUGAAUGUGUUUGCUGAGUUGGCAUAGAUUGAGAUUAGGAUUUGUCACUCCGAGUAUCGGAGAGGUAUCUCUGGGCCCUCUCGGUAAUGCACAUCACUAUAAGCCUUGCAAGCAAUGUAACUAAUGAGUUAGUUACAGGAUGAUGCAUUACAGAACGAGUAAAGAGACUUGCCGGUAACGAGAUUGAACUAGGUAUGUUGAUACCGACGAUCGAAUCUCGGGCAACUAACAUACCGAUGACAAAGGGAAUGACGUAUGUUGUUAUACGGUUUUCCCAAUAAAGAUCUUCGUAGAAUAUGUAUGAGCCAAUAUGAGCAUCCAGGUUCCGCUAUUGGUUAUUGACCAGAGAUGUGUCUCGGUCAUGUCUACAUAGUUCUUGAACCCGUAGGGUCCGCAAGCUUAACGUUCGAUGACGAUUUGUAUUAUGAGUUAUGUGUUUUGGUGACCGAAGUUUGUUCGGAGUCCCGGAUAAGAUCAUGGACAUGAUGAGGAGUCUCGAAAUGGUCGAGAGGUAAAGAUUCAUAUAUUGGAAGGUUAUAUUCAGGCAUCUAAAUGUUUCCGAGUGAUUCGGAUAUUUUACCGGAGUACCGAGGGGUUACCGGAACCCCCCGGGGGAAUAAUGGGCCUUAGUGGGCCUUAGUAGAGAGAGAGAGAGGAGGGCUAAAUGGGAGGUGGCGCGCGCCCCCCUUGCCCAAUCCGAAUUGGACAAGGGGAGGGGCCCCCUUUCCCUUUCCCUCUCCCUCUCCUUCCUAUUCCAUCCAUGGAGAAAGGAAAAGGGGGGGUGGGGCGAAUCUUACUUGGACUAGGAGUCCAAGUAGGACUUCCCCCUUGGCACGCCCCUCCUGGCCGCCGGCCUCCUCCUCCCCCCUUUAUAUACGGGGGCGGGGGGGGGGGCACCCCAAAGGACACCAAGAUUUCUCUUAGACGUGUGUGGUGUCCCCCCUCCACAGUUUACUCCUCCGGUAAUAUUGUCGUAGGGCUUAGGCGAAGCCUUGGGCGGAUCACAUCACCAUCACCAUCGUCACGCCGUCGUGCUGAAGGAACUCUCCCUCGACCCUCUACUGGAUCAAGAUUUCGAGGGACGUCAUCGAGCUGAAUGUGUGCUGAACACGGAGGUGUCGUACGUUCGGUACUUGGAUAAUUUGGAUCGUGAAGACGUCCGACUACAUCAACCGCGUUAAUCUAACGCUUCCGCUUUCGGUCUACGAGGGUACGUGGACACACUCUCCCCUCUCGUUGUUAUGCAUCUCCUCGAUAGAUCUUGCGUGAUCGUAGGAAUUUUUUUGAAAUUGCAUGUUACGUUCCCCAACAGAGAUGAGCCGUCCAGCAUCGUCUUCCCUCUCCUCAGCAACGGCUCGCUCCUCUGGUGCGGGAGGCAAGCACGCGGGCACUGGGCGCAUGGAGGAGGGAGGAGAGGAGAGGGAGAUGGAUAGGAGAGGGAGAGGAGAGGGAGAUGGAGAGGAGAUAGAGGAGGCCUGGUGGCGUAGGUGGCCGGAGGCGAGUGUGCACGAGGAGGGAGGGAGGGAGGAGAGGUGCGAGAGGAGGACGGAGGAGGAGCAACGGCUGGUUCGCAGAGAAGGGGAGAAUGGGGGCAUGGCGACACCUGGGGGGUGGGGGACUCAAGUUUGGCCACGCCUCACAGGCUCUUGCUCGGCUCUCUCGCUCGCUCGGCUCGCUCAUGCGCGGACGCCUCGGGUCGCUCAUGUGCGGGACGCAAGACUAUUCAUUGCUGACGUGGAUGCAGUGGUUGUGCCUAGCACCCCACUCAUCCUUUAUAUGUUCAAUGGUUUGAUGUAUGCCAAACUAGAGACCAAGGGGAGUUGACGGUUACAUUUUUGGAUGACAAGAACAUUAGUCUUUUGUGCAAGUUGAUUUGGACACUAGAGAAUGAAUAUGGGGAUUGGUAGGAUAUGCUUAGAGCAAAAUAUUUGAAGAGACAAACUUUGACUCUAUGUAAGUCAUCUCCUUCCAACUCUCAUUUUUUGUAUGGUCUCAUGAUUGACUAAACUUCUUGCGAUUCGCCAUGCACGAUUUUGUGUGAUGUGCAAGACGCCCACAUAUCAAUGUUUGACCCAUGGAGAAUAAAACAAUAGAAAAGGUUGUGCAUCAUCAAAAAUAUAUCCGUUUUCUCUCUAUAAGAAUUCUUUCUUAAAUGGCAGUAACCAUCUAUGAUGGGAACCUUUUUUUUUUGGUUCCUUUUUGGCGGGGCUGUUUCUUUAUUUGUGGUACUCAUAUUAUUAGUUUACUAGUCAUCAACCUGUGCAUAUGCACGGGCUAGCAUAUUUACAACAUUUACUAUCACUAGUAGAAAAAGGUCCAUUUGUCCCGGUUCUAGCAUAUUUACAACAUUUACUAUCACUAGUAGAAAAAGAUCCAUUUGUCCCGGUUUUGAAACUGGGACUAAAGGGUCGGUACUAAAGGCCCGCCCCUUUAGUCCUGGUUCUGGUAUGAACCGGGACUAAAGACCCUCCACAUGGCUGCUGUCUGGGACUAAAGCAAAUUUUACGAAUUGUUUUUUUGAAUUUUUUUAUUUUUUCCCGAUUUUCAAAUUUCUGAAUUAUUUUACAAUUUAAUCUCUAAUCACCCCUCAUCACUACUUAAUUAACCUCUAAUCUCCCCUCAUCAUUCCAAAUCAACUAACUUCCCGGCCGGUCACUCAUCCUCUCACUACUCCAGCCUGAGCACGCUUAACUUCUGGGUUCUAUUCCCCCUCGUUUUCCAUGUCUGCACUUGUUGUUUUCCUGACAAUAGUAAGAUGUCAAUCCUAUUAACCCUCAGGAGUUUAGCUUGAACAUGAAGUCACACAUUUCACUGAUUGAGUUUGAAACUAUAAUUCUAAAAACAAUAAUUAUUUAGUAACACUAAUAUUUCUUGAAUAAGUAGUUUGACCAUUGUUUGACCAGAUUUGACCAAAGUUUUAAAAAACUGAAAUAAUUAUUUAGUAACACUAAUAUUCUUGAAUAAUUAUUUAGUCACACUAAUACUUCUUGAAUAAGUAGUUUGACCAGAUUUAACCAAAAUUUAAAAAAACUGAAAUUUGAGCAUAACUUUUUCCCUUUUUGAAUUUUAGGAUUCUAAAAUUUUGUAAAACGGCCUACAGCGGUCAAAAUCGGAUGCGGAUUUUCGUGCCGAACAUUUUGAUAUAUUAUACAUUUUUUCCGACAUCGUAUGCAAAAGUUAUAGCCGUUUUACUUUUUCGUAACACUUUUUUUGCAAAACAUGUCCAAAUUGAAGUUUUUAAAUUUUCCUAACUAGUAGAUGUAGUAAUAUAACUACAUCUCGAAGGAUUUUAUUUUUUGAAGUUUUUAUCAUUUUCUUUUGUUUUUAACNNNNNNNNNNNNNNNNNNNNNNNNNNNNNNNNNNNNNNNNNNNNNNNNNNNNNNNNNNNNNNNNNNNNNNNNNNNNNNNNNNNNNNNNNNNNNNNNNNNNNNNNNNNNNNNNNNNNNNNNNNNNNNNNNNNNNNNNNNNNNNNNNNNNNNNNNNNNNNNNNNNNNNNNNNNNNNNNNNNNNNNNNNNNNNNNNNNNNNNNNNNNNNNNNNNNNNNNNNNNNNNNNNNNNNNNNNNNNNNNNNNNNNNNNNNNNNNNNNNNNNNNNNNNNNNNNNNNNNNNNNNNNNNNNNNNNNNNNNNNNNNNNNNNNNNNNNNNNNNNNNNNNNNNNNNNNNNNNNNNNNNNNNNNNNNNNNNNNNNNNNNNNNNNNNNNNNNNNNNNNNNNNNNNNNNNNNNNNNNNNNNNNNNNNNNNNNNNNNNNNNNNNNNNNNNNNNNNNNNNNNNNNNNNNNNNNNNNNNNNNNNNGUGUCUCAAACCGGGACUAAAGAUCUAAUCUUUAGUCCCGAUUUGAGAUAUGAACCGGGACUUAAGGGCAUCACACCCUUUAGUCCCGGUUCGUGUCUCAAACCAGGACUAAAGGUCUCAUUUGAACCGGGACUAAUGCCUUUAGCCGCUCGAACCGGGACUAAUGCUCAGAUUAGUCCCGGUUCGUAAUGCAACCGGGACUAAUGUGUAUAUUGAGCUGUGACCAAAGCCCUGUUUUCUACUAGUGUAUGUAUAAUUUUAAAUAAAUAAUGUGAUUAAGUAGUUAUUAGGUGAUGAUGGUUUUACAGUUAUUUCAUCAUCUUAUUGUGGAGACAAACAUAGCUAUUGUUUCCAUUUUUGUGGGUACACAUAUCAAUGAAUUUGUUGGCAUUUUAAAAGAAUGCCUUCCAAUUUUGGAAAUUGUUAUCAAAGUUUAUCCCACAUUGGACAGACCACAAACAUAACUUUUGUUUAUAUAAAUAUAAAUGUGGUUGAACUCUAUGAUACAGAGAAUGUUAAGUUCUUCUGAGGAAAAAAAUAAUCUUUCUAUUGUCGGAGAUUACUGCUUUUUGAAUAAAAUGAACAUAAUAUCUCUUAUUAGAAUUCCAUUUAUAUAUAGUUUUUAUAUCCAUUCAUGCUAGUCAGCUUUUUCAUUUGCAUAGUAAGAUCUACUUCUUUGUUUUGCAUGUGGGCAGCCAAUUUUAUAACACCUUCCGAAUCUCUUAGUGUAGACGCAAAGAAUGGAUCGUCUUCGACUUGAGCCGUGCACAUUGUACAUCCAUCAUGGUUAGAUUUCUUACUUUGCAUGAUUAGAUCCACUUCUUGUUCUACCGAAUAGGCCAAUUCCAGAACGCCUUUCGAAGGUCCUAUUGUAGAUGGAGACAAUGGAUUUUCUUUGACCCGUCAUAUGAACCUAUACGUCCCACUUAAUGUGUUGCUUUAUAUCUCGUUGUAUCUAUAUAUCAUGCUCAACUUUUUAGAUUCCUAGUUUAAAUCCAGUUGUAGCUCUGCUCGGCAUCGGCUAAUUCUGAAUGCCUUCGGAAGUUCCUACUGCGGACAUAGAUGGUGCUCCUCUUCGACUUGAAUUUUGUGAUGUACUUAGGUUAGUGAACUCAUUUAUAUACUGUAAUAUUAGUUAUUUUAUUUCUAUUUUAUAUUUAUUGUAGAGGAGCAAUUUAAUAUUGUUAUGAUUUACUAUAAUUUUUCUUUGUAGCAGUCAAAACGUGCAAACUAAGGUCGCAACAUUUUGUGUGUAGUGUAAUAGAUGUUAUUUUUGCCUGGAGAGGUUAUGUGCAUUUGUAAAAUAUCGUUACAAAAAUUGAAGUAACAUUGUAAUUUUCGUUUUUACCUUUUCAGUGUUUUUUGCAGGGAUUCAUUUUGAGUAGUUAACAUAUAUCAAGACUCAUAUAUAAUAUUUCUCAUUUUUAACAUAAAAAUUUGCUUUGAUAAUAAUAUUUUUUUCUAGAAAGUCAGCCGUGGGUACAGAGAUCUGCGCAUAUUUAUUAAAUCAAAGCGUACACCAUUGCUUCACGAUGCUUUUUGAAGUGUUGUAUGUUGACUUUUUAAAUAGACCGAGUAGAGUUUGGAUUCCAAACUGUACACAGCUGCUGAACGUUGAUUAUUUUUCUACAGAGCUUCACGUACGUUGAUUAUUCUUACUGGAGAAAUAGGGGGAGACCGGGGUAUAAUAAAUUUAGUAUUGUACUAUAUCUUUUGGAGCAUCACGUAAGGCUUUUGGAAGGUAGAGGUUGAGCAGCUGAUCUAUUCACGUACGGCUGUGUAUUUUUCCAGANNNNNNNNNNAUAUAAUGUCGCGCUAUUCGUCACUCAGGGUGAAGAAUUCUUAUUUCUCACCCCAGUCCAAUCUCACCGGCAAGACUUGAAAGCGUAAGAAAGAAAAUAUUUGAAAUAAGAUUACAGUGGGGAGAAAAGAGACCGGUCUCUUAUCGCACAAAGAGAGACACGUAAUCUUACGGAAUGCAUGCUUGUAAGGGGCCGUUCGGAAACUCUCCACUCCUAACUCCACUGCAGGAGCGGAGCGGCAUCUUGUGUAAUUUGGGCGAGCAGCCAAAUGGGCGAUCCGCCCGCUCCGCUCCCUGGCGAAGGAGCGGAGUAUUACCGAACAUGGCCGUUACGUCAUGUCCAUGAAACGUGCACCAAAAUCAUGCUAUAAAAACGAAAGAUAGUGCUGUAAUCUUACGGCAAUGAAUGGGGAGGUGUUCAUAAUUUUCUUUGUAUGAUAAGAAGCCUGCAUUCCUAUAUUGUAUUUUCUCUUAAGUAAUUUUAUGACCCGUAUAAAAUAGCAUACAUGAGGCAUUUGGACGUCCAUGGCACGAGAAAAAUCUGUACAGGAGGCAUUUGGACAACCAUGACGUAAGAAAAAUCUGUAGCCAACGUACACAUUAUUGGAACCUCUCUAAAAGGUGAUAAUCAGGCCCAACCUGGUGGCCUUUAAAUCAUACUGCAUGGAAUAACGACAUGGCCCAGGAAUAACAAAGCCAAAUAAAUAUAUUACAUGUAGAAAAAGAACUGAUGAUUCCACAAAAUAUCUCACGUAAUAAAAAUCAUCCAUACGAGUACAAAUGAAAUUCCUUUGGAGAAACUAAAUGCCACUUGGCACUCGGUAACCAGCAGCAGGAAAAAUCACAAAUCAUUACUACAGAACUGAAUACUACUGGGCUAAUUACAUCAAGAUGCAAAGAGAUUUGGAGGCGCAACUUCAGUGNNNN
rnacentral:lncRNA from 1 species